rnacentral:lncRNA from 1 species
AGAAGCAGCGUCAGUCAAGUUGUCGAGGGGGGCAUCGUAGAGAGGAGAGAGCUAAGAGGAAAGUAUCAAGAGAGAGAAUAGAAAAGAGCUAAAGACCAAAGAAAUUAGGGAUUUUAGGUUUAGAAAUCCCGAUUCCAGUUUGGUUUUGGUUCGUAAUCAGGAAUUGCAGGUUCCAAAAAAAAAAGUAGAAUUGAGAACCGAAACCUUCCUCUCUAAAAUCGGGAAUCGUGCUCACCCCUACUCUUGAGUCUACUGUGAGUUUGCUUAUCUUUCCCUGUCGCGACCUACCCUCGAGGGGAAGGAAUAGGUUUAGGGGUAUUACCUAAAGGAUGAGCCUAUGGCCCAUCAUUAGGCACGAACUCUCCCAAGUCCAUACCACGCAUAACAUUGAGAUAUUCUUAAGAAUUUCGCAAAAAGGAGUCGUCACUAGCCUAUUAAGGUCGGCUAGAAACCAAGUGAGACAUGAGAGUGUAUCUUACUUCCUACGCAACCAAAAGAUCUAGGGUCGAGGACUUAAUUACACUAAUUGAUCAAUUAGCUCUCUUUCAGUAUCUAGUCUUGUUCAUUUUAACAUAAAAAAAUUUUGUCAAGCGGUUUAAAUCGAUUUUAUACAUAUCCACUAAUAUGUGAGGUAAUUAUGCGGGUGCGCAAUCACUAAAGUAGCAAUUAGUAGUCAAGAAAAUCAUUUAAAUAAAUAGUAUGGGAGAGCACGCAUUUAACAUUAAGGAUCAGAUAAAUGCUAAUAAUAAUUAGACUAAAUGGAAGCCAAAAUCAACAUAUCAAAAUUGCAUAAUCAAAGAUAUUCAUCUUUAAGGACAACUAUAGCCUCUAAGAUGAAACCCUAAAGGCUUACUCAGUUUUUUGUAGCAUAGCUCUAGAGUUAAGAAACUUCCAUUUUUUUCCCUUUUUUAGAAAACAACUCAUAAAAUCCUUUUGUAAAAUCUUUCACAAGGAAAUUUGAAUUUCCUGACAUUUUUCAUUUUUACAUUUUUUUCAUUUUUUAUUUAUAAUUAAUUUUUUAGAAAAAAGGUCGAAUUUUUAAUAUUUUUAGAAAUAUUUUGAAUUUUUUAAUGUUCUCCUAAAGUUGUUUGAAUUUUCGGAAUUUUUUUUUGAAUUUUUACUAGUUUCCAAAUUUUUAAAAAAAUUUAUAACUUUUUUUCGAAAAUUUUUGAUAUAUUUAAUAUUAAGGAAAACAGGUUUGGACCGGUAAACCCAAUCCAGCCCGUAGACCCAACCCAAAUCGGAUCCAACACUUUUGGAUUAUUUAAAUAAAAAAAAAACGUUUUCAUUUUUUUCUAUUUUUUCAAAAAUAAAUAAAUAAUUAUUUUUGUUUUGUCUUUUCUCACUGCACCCCUUUUCCCUGCACCAUCUGCUUCUGCGACUCCUCUUUCCCGAAGCCACUUUUAUCCUCUUUUCCAUAUUUUGUUUUACUUUUCACUUUUCUAUUCUUUUCUUUUUCUUUUGUUUUUUUUCCUUUUAUUUUUUUUUCCUUUUUGGUCUUCUUCUCCUUCGUGUUUGCCCCCUGCACGCCUUCAACCCUCUCGAAGGCAGUCUUCUCCUUCCUCGCGACACUCCUUGCCGAAGCCCCUUUUAUCUUUUUUUUUUUUUUGCUUUCUGCAUUUGUUCUUUUCAUCAUUUAAAAAAAAAAAAAAACUACCUUCUUCCCCAGUAAACUCUCACGCCCAACUCUUCACCGAAGCCAUACUUCAACCCGAACUUUGCCCACACGAUCGAUUAGCGUAACCAUUGUCCCUUCUGAGUUAGAAAACACAAACUAUAUUUCGGCUCUCUUUGAAGCAUUUUGUCAAACAUUGGGUAUGCUGCAGCUAAAAAGGCCUUACGGGCUCACUCGAGGCUUGGAUUCAGGGAAAGAUCAACACAACAUGCACAAGCAACACUCAAGAUCUGCUCAUGGGCAGGUUAAUCACAGUCGGAACAGGUAUGAACGAAGAACAACUAUCUCCAAGCUUCAACAAACUUGCAAAACUUAGAUAUUGUUUAGGCAUUCCCACAAGCAUUUGGUGUGCGUUAUUGACAUGGGGAAUUUUCUACUUUGUAGAGACGCGAGACAAAUCUAAACCUCUACGACGACCCCUACGACGCGUAAUAAAGCAGCUAGCAGCUUUCAAGGAGGAUUGGCUUGGGCCGAAACUUACGCAAACUAGUCGACACAAGCUCCGGCCCGAUGCCUCCCAAGAAACAAGGGACACACAGUCAAAACAAAACCUACCUGGUUCGAGAGGAGGACUGCAGCGAAUGGCGGCGGACGAACGGACCUCCGGCGACGACCAACCACUCUCUUGAGCUUGCGUUCUCUCUUUAAGUCGCUCUCUCCUAGCCGAAGGCCUCUCCCUCUAGCUCGACUUCCGUUCUCUCAAGCUCUUUGGUCUCACUCUUUGUUUCUCCGUUGAACUCCCAGAACUAGUCGAGAAAAAAAAACCCCUGUCUUCUAUUUGCUCUCUUCCUUUUAAGCUCGGCCAACGACAAGCGUGCGUGGCUUCUGCCACUGCCAGCCCGUUGAGGCCACUUGAUCUCCGACCCUGGGAUCAUGCCGUUCUCUACCGAUCCUCUGACCUCGCGAUCCUCUGUCUUGCCCCUGGUUUGUACGUUUCUCUUUCUUCUUCUUUUGCAGGAGCGUGGUUGGCGUGAAGGGAGGAAGAAGACUCACACAUGGGCUGGGUUGAAAGGGAAAAAGGGGUUGGGUUGAGCUCAGUGCGAAGGAAAGAGAAAAGGAAACAAAGGAAGUAGCCAACCCAAGGCUUGUCCGGACCUAGCCCGAUUGCUCCUAUUUUUUUUUCUUCUUUUGAAUUUUUUUAUUUUAAUUUAUUUUGUAAAUAAUUUUUUUUGAUAAAUUUUAAAACUAGUGACGCAAAUGCUCCUAAUAUCUAUAUGUGAUGCAAUUUUAAUGAAAUUUUUUUGUUAAAGGGUUAGAAUUUAAUCCCUAAUUUUCCGAUGCAAUUAAUAAACAUUUAAACGAAUCGCCAAAAUUUUGGUGUCAACAUUCCUUUGUCCAAGAAAAGAAAGAGAAAAUUUUCUAGUUGUAACAAACGCAUUGCAAAGUGUAGAGAGAGGGGGUAAGGGAUAGUGUGCUUAGGUUAGUGAGAUAGAGGGAAGACGACUUUUAUGCAAAAAUCCUCUUAGACCUCUAGCGGACCCCACACCUCUGCAUGGCGCUCCAUUAGUGGGUGGAGAUCAUGCUGAUUUGGUAGUUUAGGACUGUCACGACCUCUUUUUUUCCGUCCGGGGGAAAAAGAAAGAGAGGUUUAAGGGUAUUUGCCUAAAGAGGUGGACCAAUGGCCCUAGAAUAGGCGCGAGCUCUCCCAAGCCCAUACCUCGCGCGACGUUAGAUUCAUUUUUUAGUUCUUAACAACCUAUGUAAUUCUAGGAGUCGCCACUAGCCUAUUAGGGUCGGCUAAAAACCAAUCAAGACACGGGAGUAUUGUCUCGAUUCAUACGCAACCAGAGAUUUCUAGGAACGGGGACUCGUUUACGCCAAUGUUUCUAUUAGCGCCCUUGCGGUAUCACUAACUUGGAAUGUUGUUUAUCUAAAUGGCCAUAUAAUCUUGAUUACCAAUUAUAAUCUUUAUGAAACCACUAAGUGUUCAUGCAAAUAUUUUUGUAUUUUUUUUUAAAUGUCUAGACUAAUCUUAACAUAAUUUAGAAGAGAAAUUUACACUCAAAUUAAUGAAAAGCGGUGCGUAAAUAAACAUCCAAGAAAUUGAAAUGACUUGAAAAUAAACACGGAAAAGGUAAACCCGAUACAAGUCGGGCAAAUAAUAUUACAUGGCCUUGUUAUCAUGCCCCAGGACAGGACCCCUGUGAGCGAAAUGGAAAUUUAAAUAUGCAUGAAAUUACUCUAGAUGCAUGAAAUUACUCUAGAUAAUUUUAAUCUAUGCAAAAUUGAUUAUUUACAAUGAUCAUAAAAUACCAAAAUAGCAUUAAAUUAGGAAAAUGACAUUUUAAAAAUAGGAAAAUUUCAUAGAUGCCAUUUUUGCCUUAAUUUGAUACAUCUAUCACCUUUAUAUUUUUUUUGAAAUUUUUGGAUUUUUGGAUUUUUAUAUUUUUUUAUUUAAAUAAAAAUAAUAAUUUCCUAAACCGAUAUAUGCUAACAUUGAACAACACAGCACAUGAAUAUCACAAUAACCGGGCUCAAAUCGACCGUUUCAAAAUCGAAACUUGGUUUGCGCAUUUCGUUGAACACUUGGCGUGCAUGAAAUCACCCCAAAUCAGCUUCCUUGGGCCAUGUUUGCGGCCUUUAAUCUCAACGCAUGAGCAAUAUUAUGUGGAACUAAAACAUCAAGGUUAAACUACCACAUGCAAGAAGUAAGAUUAGAUAGAAAUCACAGCUUAAAACACACAAAAACCAAGCUGGAAUCGGCCUCAAAUAUGUGGGUUGAGCUAAUUUUGAAAUUUGGGUUUGAACCAAAGUCAAGCAAACAGGUUGCAUACCCAUAUUCAAGCCUCAACACUCAUCGCAUACGAGAUCUAAAGGAAACAUUACUUGAUCCGAGUGAAAGUAGGUAACAUGAGCUUUCAAAUGCAAUAAAAAUCACAGAGAAUGACCCACCGAACAACAUUAAAACGACCUCUCCAAGAAGCACACAUGCAACACUCUUGAAGAUAUUUCAAACACUUAGAAAAAUUUCAACCUCAGAAAUCAGUUUUCCGGGCUGGUUUCCCUCUUGAUUUUCAUUAUCAAAACAUGCUCAAACUCGAAAAUACGUACAUCUAGGAUGCUUACCUUACUUCCUAGUUUCCUUUUCAAGUGGUUCUUGGCCAAGGAAACUGAGAAAUUGUCCUCUGGAAGCACGUGGAAGUUGGCUUCUUCAACUGGAAAUGAGAUCUGUAGAAAAGAAGAACUGACAACGAAGGUUUUCGUUGACCUCUAAAAUUAGACUUUAAGACGUCUUUUGUUGGAAAAAUUGACACCAAGCCAAACUAUAUGUAUUCUAGUUUGGGUUAGAAUUCAAUAUUUUCCUCAUUUGUUUCUCAACUUUCUCAAAAACACUGCAUUUUCCCCACUCAUGACCAAUUGGGCUCAACACUUAGAAAAAUUUUCAGUGUUUCCUGGCCCGCCUGGGGGGUGUAUUUCGAGGGGCUUUAGGAGGCCUUCCCGAUCUCCAUUUAAGACGUGCGACCUAUGGAUGGAAAGAUAUUUGAGUGAAGUUUCACUCUCUACUUGAAGAUUUUGGCUAAUUUUGGCCGAAGGGUUGUGAAAAUCUCACUUUUCUCUCAAAAGGUUGAUCUGGAAUUUCUGGGUUUGCUCUUCUGGAAUUGCUUCUGAGGGCCUCUUUGGGGAACGAUUCCGAGCUCUCCUCUCCUCUCUCUUGUCCCUUUCUCUCAUCCCUUUAAAUACCUUGCUUUAGUGAUCUUAUCCCCUGAAUUAAGGGAUUUUUGGUCAGCCUUUUGUCCACCUACCAAGCCUGUCAACAGGGCUACUUCACCUACUCUUCUGACUUAGCCAAUUUUUUUAACUUCUGCAGCUAUUGAGUGUGCGGACUUUGCUGCGACUUUCCCGUGCUUUUAGCAGCUUAUCCCUGGCAAAUUUUCGUCCACUUGCACUACUUUAUACGGUCUUUCAGCACGUGCAAAGAUCGAGCUAAAUGGGCGGCUGAGUGGGAUAUGAUGGGGCCACCAAUAUGGCUACUUAACAACUCCGAAUUAAGACUUAAUCGUGGACUGAGAUUUGGCAGCUGGUUUGGAUGCUUUAAUCCAUCACUUUGGCUGUGGUUUUUGAUCAAUUAGCAAGUUCAUGUAUAGUAGUUUAAGAUCUCGACCAAAUUUCGCAAUUGUGCCACCUAAUUUUGCAAAAAAGUCCCUCAAAAUUGGCAAUUUUCUUAUCCGAAAAUACCCAAUUCAAUACAAAUGUGGUCUUUUUGGCUUAAUUUGAUUGAUUCUACUUGGCCCAAAUUCAAUUCCAACUUAAUUGAUGACCAAGAUGAUGAUUUAAGGGCUCGGGCGCAAAUUUUGCAAAAUUUGCGAAUUGGUCCAUCGACUUUUGGAAAUUGCAUUUUGGCCCCAACUUGUCAUUUGAAUUCCAAUCUGACCUCCUAGGCUUGGCUAUUCACAUUUAGAUCAUUGGCCCCAACUUGCUCUCUUUUUUUUUUUUUUUCGAUUUCUUCUUUUUUUUUAAAAAAUUAUUUUUUUUAUAGGAAAAACAUCUUUCAUUUAAAACACGAUAUUAAACACCUAAAUAAUCUAUAUGCCAGAAUGAAAUAUUUUUGGGCAAAAAUUAGGUGUCAACAAGGACCACCCAAUAUUUUAUCCUUGGAGUUUCCUCAGGUCAUGAGAGCUUCUAGUUGAGGCCACUUGAGCCACCAAAUGGGACUUCGAGAUGGAAUCUCUUACAAUGGAUAUGAACUAACUAUGCCAAAGGCAACUACCUCUACGUGGCAUUCCCCUAAAGGCGACUUCAAGGUGGAGAGAUUGGCAAGCAAGAAUAGCAUUGCGAUCACUAUCUGAAGGAUAGCAAAGAUUUCAAUCAAUGUCAUUCCCGUGACAAAAGAAGACAACCAAGUACGCUACUACCAAAUUCUUUCGGAUGAUUGCUUUGCUCACUUGGAAGUUUAAUUCAAUUUUUUAGGUGUUAAAAAUUUAACUACGCAAAAGCAUGGUUUUGAUGUCGAUGAUAAUUUGUGUUUUAAUCUGUGCGAGUGUAUAUGUGUAUGGGAUAGUUGAUGUAGGAAUGAACAAGGAGCGAGGUAUAUGAGACAAGGAUAGUUUCACUAGUUUAGAGAAGUGAUUUUACAAUAAUUGGAGAAAAAAUGGUGGAGGAGCUUAGGGAUAAGGAGUUUAUUGUAAUCAUUAAAAAUAUAUCUCGAGUUUGAGCCCAUAAACGAAAGUCCAAAAUUACAUGGGAAACUCCCUACUUGAGAUAUUUGGUAUUUAUCUAAUGGAUAUCUAAACUAGAAGAUUAAAAACAUAGGAGAGGGAAUAUAUGGAAUAGAGUUGGAUUUGGCAAGGGGCUUCACAACUUAUGUGUGUUUAUAUAUAAGGUUAAUACCCUGAAAAACCCCGAACUGGUACACGUGUAACAAUUUUACCCCAAACUAUUUUUUUGACCAUGAAAAAUCCCAAACUGGUACACCCGUGACAAAUUUACACCGACUCACCAUAAAAAACCCUAAAUUGGUACAUUUAUGACAAAUUUAUCCUAAACUAAUUUAUUCGAUCGCAAAAAACCCAAAACUAAUAAAUUUGUGACAAAUAUACUCUUCGCUAAAUUGAAUUAAUAUCACAAAUCAUAAAAAUUGUAAACUUUGACAAACGGAUCGUAAAAUCUCAAAUUGGUAUACAAGUCAAUUGUCAUCUGUCAUUUAACUUAAUAAUUUGAUAAUAAAAUUAACAAAAACUAACAGAGGGUAAAUUUGUCACAAGUGUACUAGUUUGGAGUAAAUUUGUCAAAGGUAUACCAGUUUGGGGUUUUGGUGGUCAAAAAAAUAAUUUUUGGUAAAUUUGUCAUAAGUGUACCAGUUUGGGAUUUUUCAGGGUAUUAACCCUUAUAUAUAUAUAUAUCCUUGGAUCAUUAGUCUGUGUAUAUGCGAUAGUUAAUGUGCAAAGUGGACUUCUUCAAGAGUUGUGUGUUGCAUGCGAUGCAUGCUGGUGACUGUUUGAUAGCUGAUUAAAUCUUGUAAUAAGAUUUGAAUUAUUCUUUCGUGAGAUUGAGAUAUUAUUUCGUGAGAAAUUAUAAGGUUAAACAUUUUGUGAAUCAUUGGGUGUAAUCAGGGGUUGGAAAUAUUUAAAGUAUUUAAAUAAUUUAAGUGUGGUUGUAAUCUCGAUUAUAUCACUUAAUCUAUAGUGAAAUUCGUUAUUACUCUUUCCAUGGACGUACGUCACAACAAUCAAAUCACAUAUAUUUUAUGUUCAAUUUAUUUCUUUAUUUUAUCUAUUUUAUUAUACGAUUACUUGUGCACAACAUUAAUGCCCUCUAGUCACUCACUGGAGGGCAAAACGCUACACACAUGGUGUUGGUGGAGGUCUCAACCUCAUACGCAACUACCACAUGAAAACCCAUAUUUACAGGACUCUGGGUGCGUUUGGGAAGACUUUUAGGGAAAGUCUUUAGGAAAAUGCAAAGACCUUUGAGUUAAAGGUAUUUUCCAAAAUGCAAACUGUGUUUGGUAAAUUAUAAUUUGAAAGCUCUUUGUGAAGUACCUUUGAGCAAAAUGGUGUUUGGGGGACAAAGGACUUUUAUGAUAAAAAAAAUUACCAAAAGAAAAAUAAAAAAAUUUGACUGUGUGGGUCAUAAAUACAGACAUUAUGUACUUAAAAUUUUAGUUAAAUUCACAUCAAAAUAGUUUAUAACUUAUAACCUAAAAUAAAAUCCAAGUUUAGACUCUUUUUUAAUGAAAUUCCAGUAAAAAUCAAAGUCUUCUUUUGGUCAUUUUCCCAAGUGCCGCACGAUGCCCAGCUCCUUCUUCUGCGCAGCUCCUUCUUCAACCUAGACCCUCGCCGGUGAUCCCCAACCUCACCGCCCCCAUGCCGCCGCCGCCGCCGCCGGCCUCCGAGCUCCUGUGGCAAGCGGCCGCCGCCGCCUGCGUCAAGCUCCUCCUGGUCCCCUCCUACCGGAGCACCGACUUCGAGGUCCACCGCCACUUGGCUCGCCCUGACCCACUCCCUCCCCGUCGCCCGCUGGUACUCCGACGAGACCAGCCCCUGGACCCUCGACUACCCUCCCUUCUUCGCCUUCCUCGAGCUCCUCCUCUCCUUCCCCGCCCGCGCCGUCGACCCCGUCAUCGUCCACCUCCACCACAGCCUCGGCUACGGCGCCGCCUCGACCUCCGACAGUCACACGACCCCGAUCGGCCGUCGCCGAGGCUACGCAACCUCGCCUGAGGUCGGGGGACCUCGGCGAGGGCCGCGCCUGGGUCGCGCGACCCCGAUCGGCUGUCGCCGACUCAGAUCUGAGCCAUGAGGACCCAGAUCUGGGCCACUGCGACUCGCCGAGGCGGCCCCUCGCCAUGGUCGUUGAGUCACCGCGACUCGCGGAGGUCGCCCGACUCUUCGACGACGAUCGCCUAGGUUGUCGCGAUCACGCCGGCGUCCCUCUAGCCGUCACCGGCCCCUCGCAGCAGUCAGGAAGAACAGGUGGUGAAGAUGAACAGUAUUCUCGAAAGGGCAAAAGACGGCAAAACAAAAAGUUCGUAAGGAUAAUUUCGGAAAAAAAAGAAGUAUGAACAGUACCCGCGUGAGCAUGCCGAAAAAGCCGAAAGCCCAAGGCAGGGGGAGACCUGCCUUGGGCUUUCAGCCUUCACAAGGCUGGCAUUUGGAGAAUGGAGGUGCAAAAUUUUUUGCCAAACGCCCUCUACUUGGCCCAAGGGGCUUUGGACUCCCAAGGGGCUUUGGGAAGUGGUUCCCAAACGCACCCUCUAUCCACCAACUCUUGUACAAAAUUCUUUACUCCAUUAGAGAUCUUUUCUUUUUGCUUUAGCAAUGUCCACCGCCAUACUCUAUUUAAUGAGAUACAUCUGGAGUUUUCUACAAAUUUCUAUCCCACAAAUAUCUAGUCCAUGCUAUAUAUUUCUAGAAAUUGGAUCACAAAUUUCAACAUUCGGCCCCUCUCCAAGAGUCGAGGGAGUGGUCGGCAGGAAGAAGCAGCCCAAUUUCGAGAACCCAGCAAAGCGGGGGGUUCAGGAAGCUGGUCGGCGACGGAGAGGACUAAUGCAGGACCCCGUCACUCCUCUUGACGGGUUGCGCAGCUUGCAUCUUCUCGCCCAAUCACGGAGUCUUNNNNNNNNNNNNNNNNNNNNNNNNNNNNNNNNNNNNNNNNNNNNNNNNNNNNNNNNNNNNNNNNNNNNNNNNNNNNNNNNNNNNNNNNNNNNNNNNNNNNNNNNNNNNNNNNAAAAUUCAACGUUGCUUAACUAGUUACCAAGGUUCUUUCGAGUCCGACAAGAGUUUUUCAUCUCGUUGUCCCAGUCAAUAAUUGAAGUGAAAGUGUAGACUUUAUCUUCUGACAAUGAUAGACCCAGCUUGCAAAAUUGAGUAUACUCCGUUGUAAUGUUCACUCUAGAUCCUAGAUUUAACUCUCUGAACUCUAGUGUUACUUAGAUUCUAGAUCUGUUGUACUGCCUGACGAACUCAAGUAAUAGUUCAAUAUUCAAGCAGCGCGAUUUGCUGAGGCUUAGAUGCUGAACAAUAUAUUCAACGAAAGCCCAUGUGUUGUGCCCAAAAAGUCAACAUACAUAAGCCUCCAAAUGCAAAUUUUUUUUUCCCGCCGAUUUGUUCUGACUUUGUCGAGCAUCAUUUAUUGACAUGGUUAGAAGUUGCAAGAGAUUCCUAGAUUAGUACCUGCCAGGCUGCAGCCCAAAAAACAACCUAGGACCAUCUCACAGCCUUUUGAAGGGCGGCCGCUCAUGCACCCGUUCAUCUCCUCUUUGUUAAAAAAGAAAACCAUGUUUAUCAAGAAAUCUGACGAAUUUAUAUUCAUCACGGUUAUUUGAUGCGUACGGCCCACUUAUUUCUAACCCUCGGAGCAAGUCUUGUAUGUACUUAAUGCAUGUAAAUUUAUUCUUAGACUGUGUGAUCCCUUUAUGACUUUCAACAUUUAAUGAUUAAAAUGAACUUUCAACAUUUAAUGAUUAAAAUGAAGUGAGCUCACAUGAUUCGUCACAUAUAAGAAACUUCCAUAAAGAAAACAAUAACCGCAUGGUUUAACAAGAGUGCUCUGAUAGGAUUUCCUAAUAUGUUGAACAUCGACUAUGUACGGUUCGUCUUCAUCGCAUCUCCAUGCGUGUGCUUGGGACAACGUACUGUUGAGGCGGCGAUGCAAACAAAGUUCCGCGCACCAGAAUGUCUGUAAGUUCAAAUGCAUGAAUUGGUUGCGCAAGGGCUAUUCUCAUUAAUAUCAUGGGUUAUAUAGGACCGGCACCAAUGCAUCAAAAACACGCAGGAAUCAAUCUCUGGUCGGUGGCCAAAGAAAACAUCACUCUCUGUCGGCAAUGGUGAUGGCGCGGAAUGCUCUGUGGAGGAGGGUACGUCACUCUUCCGCAUGAUGUGCACCCCAAAGCUCCACUUUCACAAGAUAGACAUGACUCUCUACCUUCUCUCAUGGCAAUUUUCACGGCGGUAUCUGCCGCGAAGAACAGAAAAUAAUGUGCAGCUCACGGGGUUAAAAGAUGGAAGAGAAAGAACACACGGGCUCGGAGAAAAAAAAGGGAAAGGCCUGCGCCACCAUAGGAGAAAGAGUCUCGACGGAGGAGGAGGAGGAGGAGGAGAAAAAACAUCAUAAAAAUGUUCAUUAUCAUAUAAGGAUCUGUUCAUAACUUAGUCUAUUUGCAAAGUCAGCUAAAAACAGCAGAAGAACCUCAUCAGCACACCUUCACUUAUCCAAACCCCUCCCUCUGUUACUGAUCGAUAUUUGAAACAACCAAUCCCCACCCAAUUUCCUAAAAACGCGCAUGUUAAAUCUGUCUUGCUUGUAUGAGAGGAACAAACACAUUAUUUUCGUCAAUAAAAGAAAAGAAAACGAAACACGAAAAAAAGAGCCACAAGAUCAUGCGCGCAGAAGUCAUCUAUAAGACUUGAGAACAGCACCGCAGAAGGUGCAGAUGACGGCCUUCCAGGACUUCCAGUAGAACGGGACGUAACAGAACCGCGUCGCCGUCUUCAUGUCGGCCACGCUGGCCCCGCGGCCGCACCGCGAGCACGUCCCCGCCACCGGUUUGCUCCGCCUCACCUUCCUCUCCUGGUCCACCAGGAAGCAGAAACACACCAUCGAAGUUCCUCCGGCGCACUCGGGUCCCGAUUCAACCGCGAGGUCUCAUUCGAUCUGCAAAAAAUCACUCCAGCUUCGGCCCCAUAUAUCUACCAGGCGAAGAAACCCUGGAGCCCUUUGAGUGGUUGAGCGGUAGGGGCUCGGUCUUUUAAAGAUCAAGCAGGACGGGCCGUCGGAUGACCGACGCGUGGAGACGCCAGGUUUGGUUCCAGGACAUCGAUCCUGUUCCUAGUCACGUUUUUGGGGAGGUGAAACUGCUCGGCCAUCAUGGAUUCACAGUGACCAUGACGUCCAGUCGUUGUGGGGCAAAAUCGCGACGUUAAAUAUUGGAAGAAAGGGAAGAGACGCUAUGGUUGCGGAAAUGCAUUUAAUGCCUUUGUCUGUCCUUUGAGCAGUGCCCGACGCGAAAUCCAAACCAAGUUUGUCUACUGAGAGCCACACGUUCUGUAGCCUCCACACACAAAAUCCCCCCUAUUCAUGCAUGCAACGUAGGCCGCACGUUUCCUUGUAGUUUCAUCGGAGGAAGCAAGAGGGCUACAUUUUACAAAGGCUUUUACAUAAUCAUUGGAUGGGUAAAGCGAUUGCGAUGUAAGAACAUUGGCAAAUUCGGGGUAAAUUUCACCCGUUUUUUAUAUUUGAUUGGCCCAGUCAUGAUAUUUCAGGAAACAAGAAUAUUUCAGCGGGUUUUCUUGACAUGAUUAAAUAAGUCUAGGAGAAAAUUUCGUAGGGAGAAGACUAGUCGUCGGCCGUCCUUUUGUUCUAGCUAGAAUUUUCAAUGAAUGUGAUAAAUAUUGGUUUAGAGUUAAGUAUCCUUCUCUUUCAUUAUUUAUUGCGCGAAUCGUAGUUGUGAAUGUGACCUAUGCUUAGGUACCAUCGGUGGGAAGCCUUGUCAUGUCACCAAUUGUCGCGAGGCUGGAGUAGCUUGCGAUGAUGGGAAAAGGGUUUUGAGAAUUUUCGAUAGAUAUUUGUGAUUCUAGAACAUGAGAAGUGGAGAGCGGCUAACAACCAAAAUUUAAUGGAUAUUUCUAAAGAAAAUUACGCAUGGACCAAUUAUCCGGUUUGAAGUCUUCUUUUUCGCACUGUUUUUCACAAUUUUUCACUUAUUUGAAAGCAAUUUUCACUUUUUGAAGCAAUUUUUAAUUCAAGUAAUUCAUUAUGAAAAGAGAUAUAAGCCCAUAUUUUCUCGUGAUUCUUUCCAAAUAUCAUUAAAAGUGCUGCUAGGUUCCCCCAAGUGGCACAAUAGCAACAUUGAAUUAUAUUUAGAACUAUCAAAUAUAGGGUUAUGGCUCUACUGGAAUAAGUUGAGAAAUUCAUAGAUCAACCUGAAUUUAGGCAUAAUGAACGUGGUGAAUUUGCAUUUUACGUGAUAAUGAUAGAAUGAGGUAUCAUGAACAAAUCUUACUAGUUCGAAAAAAUUCAAAAGAGAUAACCUCUUUUGUGGUCCAUGGGCGGAAACACCAACAAUGCUCGAAGGAGCAAUAAAUACGAGGUUUCUUAGUUCAAAAGGUAUUGCAAGUCCACGUCGAUUUCAUUGAAAAUCAAAUACAUCUCAUGUCGGUCCCUAACCAAAAGCAUAGCCAAAAAAUAAAUUUUUGGUUAUUUGAAACCAAUUUUCAUUGAAAAUCAAUGAGCCGGUUCGAAGUUUUCUUUUGCGUAUUAACUUUUGACAAUUUUCACUUAUUUGAAAGCAAUUUUCACUUUUUUGAAGCACUUUCCUUUUAAUUCAAGUAAUUCACUAUGAAAAGAGAUAUCCGCCCAUAUUUUCUCGUGAUUCUUUCCAAAUAUCGUUAAAAAUGUUGCUAGGUUCCCCAAGUGGCUAUAACUUCCAAUAAUUUUUGUAACAUCGAAAUAUAUUUAAAACUAUUAAAUAUAGGGUUAUUGCUCUAUUGGAAUGAAUUAAGAAAUUCGUAGAGUAGCCCGAAUUUAGGCAUAUUGCACGUGGUGAAUUUACAUUCUACGUGAGCUUGAUAAAAAGAGGUAUCAUUAACAACUGUGACUAGUUUAACGGAAAAAUUCAAAAGAGAUAACCUCUUUUUGUGGUCCAUGGGAGGAUACAGGACAAUGCUCGAAGUAGCUAUAAAUACGAGGUUCCUUAGUUUGAAAGUAAUUGAAAAUCCAUGUCGAUUUCAUUGAAAAUCAAGUACAUAUCAUGCUGUUCCCCAACGAAAACUGAAAAAGGGAAGUAUGCAUAUGCUGGUAAAGGAUUGUGCAGUUAGAUUUGGCGUUCAUAUGAGAUUUGAUUCUUCAUCAUCUAGGAUGGAAAAGUGCAUUGGCGCAUAAGGGUAUACUGUGAAAUCGAUAUUUCGACUAUCUCCAUUAACAAAGCAAUAGAUUGGAGGAGGAUUACCUUUUUUUUUCUUUUUUUCUUUUUUGUGCCAGAGGAGGAUUACUUGAGAUGAUCUAAUUUUGCACGAUAUAUCAGGUUAGUUAGUCGCGUUGCGCAUGACGAUCGUUUACUAUCUCCGCUUUGCAUCUCACUAAACUCUGGAGCAAUGUGAAAUGUCGAUGUCUAAGUUCUUCAAACCUUCCCAUGUGCAACGAUCGAGGGAAAACUAGAUCCAGCUCUUGUGACGGGCUGGAAACAAUCUAACGGCCCAUUAGUUCGCAUGGAUUACGAUUUCGCAAAUAUCUAACAUGGUCCAAGCCCAACGAACUCCUCUGCAAUGGGCAAACCUGUCUGAGCCCAUUUAAGUCCAAGUCUCUCUCUUUUUAAUUUUUUUAAUCACUUCGCCUUCUUAUCUGAAGUUUAUUUUGAAUCAAUUUUUCUUCCCAUAGUUUUGACAAUAUGCGCCAAUCGAAACUGACUUCUCAAUCGAAAUGGGCGAUGCACAACUUUUGAAACGAAUGGCCAAAAUCUGUUCGGUGAACUCGUUGCGCCUCAGUUUCCUCCUAUUUUCAUCCUUAUUUUCUAUGUCACGAGCAUUGAGACAACGUAAACCCGACUCAUUUGUUGUGAUUGAAUAUGUAUGUCACAUACGGAGCAGAUUAGUCCAUCCAUUACCGUAUGUAUUUAAUAAUAAUUGACCGUUAGUGCUCUGUUAGGCUCUAAUCACGCAAGAGGUUGAGCAAACCUGGGGGUGCAUCUUUCCCUGAAUUUGACCUUUUCGUUUCCACUAAGUCUGCGUCGAGACAAUGCCCGUGCAGGCAUUCUCGUUAGGUUGGUGAUGAAUCAACUUGACGUGUCUGCUUUGACUAAUCCCCGAACGCUCAAAGAUAAGUUAUAGACAGUACGGUGCUUAUACACUAAAAAAGAAGAAGGAAAGCGGCCUAUAAUUGUAAAACCCUAGCUUGAGAAGACGUCGUGAAAGUCAAUGUUAGGUCGGAUUUCUCUAAUGGGAUUCUUGGCACUUAGCUCGUAAGGACCAGGCACAUGUUCCUGUGAUUUCCCCCAACAGGUUUUGACCUGACGCCUGCGGUCAUCAUUAAAAUAAGCGUGUGUGAGUGAGAGAGAGAGAGAGAUAAAAUAGUCGAGGGACGAAUUCAAUCCUCAGAACAUGAUAACGCAGUUUUAAGGGGGGGUGUCUUCUUGACACUUGUAGAUUCGUUAAAUCUUGACGAGGAAGAUCCAUUUUAUUUUAUUUUUAAGGGGGGGCCACGUUGCUUCAUUCGUCUCGCUCGAACGGGGGGCCAUUAAUGAACGAGGCAGGCCGACCUCGUGAUUAACAUGUGAUGAUUGUGUCCCGUGUCUUGAGAAGAGCUUGCGUCAUUUGCAGAGUCCGUGCAUUUAAGAGGCCCUUGUCUUUCCUUCUCGAUGAAGUGUCGGCAAGGGACUUUCCGGACGUUGGGAAAGCAUCCGGGCGGAACAGCGAAGAACAAAGAAGAUGGGAACUGGGAAGUACCGAAGGGAAGUUCCCCCUUUUAUCUUCAUUUUCCCUUUUAAAAUCUAAGCCGGUGCAUUUUAAGACGACCAUUUGCCAAGCAGUUUAAUCUCUUCAAAGAGAAUUAUUCAAAAAUUCCUAAAUCUAUCAUAUUUAUGUUGAUUUAGUCUUCAAACAAUAAUUGAGUUUACUUUGUCAAUUUUGACGAAAAUUGCAGGCAUAAAUGUCAAUUAUCUUAUGCGGUAUGUAAUUUGCCACAGCCCUCACUUGCCCUCUCCCAAAUUUGCAUUAGGGCCCAAUGACCCUAGGCAGCCAUCAUCUAAAAAAAAAUUAAAAAAGAAAAAAAAUUAAAUUAAUAGAAAACAGAAAAUAAAUAAAAUAAAAUAGUCCAUAUUAGCACCAAGCGUACGAUGAUUAGCGUUCACAACAGUAAUUUCCUUUCUUUUCUUUUUUCUGUUCCUUUUUUGUUUCUUAUUAUGGCUGGGAUGUUUCAGCAACCCUUGCUGGCCAUUAGGCGAUAGUCUACAAGCCCUCAUCGAUUGCAAAUAAGGUGAUCCUCGCCUAGAUCUAGCGAGGGUGGGGCUCAUCUAUGGCCAAUGAGGACAACCCUACCCCAACCCUCUUCGACCACCUAUGAAAAGGAAAGAAAAAAACAUAAAGAGAGAGAGAGAGAGAAAAAAAAAUUUAAAAAAUUAUUCACAUUAAUGCUAGCCACAUAUAAGAUGGUCAAGGCCGAUUGGACUGCCACGUCAUCGUUUUCUAGUCAAAAUUGAUUAGAAAGACUACAUUAACAAAUUGUUAAAAGGUUUAUAAUGAAAUUGGUAUAAUUGAAAUACUUAUGACUAAAUUGAUAUAAGUACAAUAGAUACAAUUUUUUCUUUUUGAUAAUUUCUUCUUUUGUUAUCAGUGAUUGCAUUUUGCCGUGCAAUAUGGAUGUCAGUAUCCGCAUUACUACAUUGGCUCACUUUCUUUCGACGAUAUUCAAGCCCCCUCCCUCUCUCCCUACCUUGCGUACAAUUAGGUAUGUGCCCCCCCUCUUCACGGCGUGUUGUUUAUUGAAGCAAUGCGGAAGAUUAAGUCAAAUUUAUACGGGGUUAUUCUAAGUGCAUGACGUCCCACUAAAUUCCAGAAAAAAAAAAUUUAUAUAUACAUGAGAAAAAAUAUAUAUAAAGAAUCGUUGCAUUAUCUGAAAUUCAGCUGACGGAGCUUCGGGCACAUCGUCAAAAGCGGCAGGCAGAGAUCGUGCUUCCCGCACCAAUACAACCAGCCACUACCUCCACAUCCCCGCGUUUUCCUUCGUUUGGUUGGACUCUCUUUUUAAUCUCGAUUUGUUUAAUGUUAUCAUAGUCGAACAUAUUACGUUUUUCCAUGUCCAUAUGCGUGUGGAAUUUGGCGCAGACCGACUGCAAAUGUCCAUUGCAAAAUGGCUUUUGGUUUUCAAUCUUGGAAGCCCCCACUUUUUCAAACCCCGUAAAGCAAGACACUUCCAGGAGAGUAUGGACAAGCGAGAGCAUGAAAAACAUUACGGGUGGGACCAUGAGAUAGAAAAAUGGUGAGUCUAAAUUUAGUGACAAAAACUUAGACUAUUCGGAUGGAUCAAAUCAAGUUUAGACUAUGUCGAAAAUGACCUAAUCUAAAUUGACUCAAGUAACUUAAUUUAAACCAAUAUUCGACCAUAUUAUUUAUACACUUCAAUAUUUAAUCUUAUUUACAAAUUGAGAUAAGUGCACCGAGUGAGCAAGUGCAACAUCAAUUGAGGAUAAAAGAGAGUGAAGAGAAAGUUAUAAAGAUGAGUUAAGUUUAUAUAAAUCGUGAACACAUUUUAUACUCACGUUAUUUUGAAAUAUAUAAUUCUAAAUUCAUUGGCUAAAUAAAUAAUUUAUAUAAUAACGGAUUCAUCAAAUAUAAAAUGAAUGUUGGCAGGUCAAUUGAACCUGCUAAUUUUUUUUUUCUUUGGCGAGAGUCAGUGUCUUUGGCCAAAAAUUAUAGACAUAUAAAAGUGAAGCUAUCGAAUCGGUCAAUUCAUAGAUGAUCCCUUUGUACGACAUGGUCUUGGCCUAAUUUCCUUGAUUUGCGGUGAACAAUUAAAGGCGGAAAGACAAGAAAGAAGCGGUCAAAUCCGACAGUGUUCUUCAAGACGUGACCUCUUUUUUCUCGAUGCUACGUUCUAGCUUGAAAUUUACGGCAUAUGCCUCGAUUUUUAUGCUCCCUCUCUAUUGUAAUUUAAAGGAAAGACAACCCUAGGGGACCAAAAAAAGGUAUAGAAAGAAUCGAAUCUUCAUAUGGUGAAAUUUUGGUGAAGGUGGGGUGUUUACAUCAUUUUCAAUGGCACAUGGGGGGAUGGUCAUUCAUUCAAGAUGCUACCUAAUAGCAAGGGCUCAUUACUUGCCAUAAAUUUCAUGGAUCCAAAUAUCUUUCCAAUUUCAUGAAGCUAAAUAUAGUAGGAUGGUCCACGAGAGUUUUUGUCUUGGGAAUUGAUUGGUCUCCUAUGCACUUUGGAUAGAAUAUUUUUAAAAAUUGAAUGUUUGACCUAAGCAGCCAAACAAAAAUAUUGCAAUUACUCCCAAAGUACAACCCAAUCCACAAAUUCAAAGAGCAAGUCCACAAAAACAUUUAUGUAAAGAUUCGCCUGUCUAUCGAAAUGCCUAACUCCAACACCUGUCUAACUUAAAAUAUUUAAGAAAUGAACGAGCAACCACUAGCUUAGUAAAUGAAUUCUCAAGACUUAUAAUAGAAAAGAAAAUCUCCUAUCUUAUCAUAUCAAUAAAUCAUGAUUUUUAAUGUGCAAUUGGUCAUAAAUAGGCAUGACUCCGCUUAGCUUCAAUUCAAUUCUAACAAUAGCUCAAAGAUCACUAAUCAACGUCACAUCAUUCCGGUUCAAUUGGUCUAGGCACUAAACAGUCUUAAGCAAAUGAUAUAAUGACACAAACACAUAGAGAAUGUAUCUUAUGAAUGCAACGAAUACCGCAUAAUACCAUUAUAUACACAGACGGGGUCUAACAAUUUACUUUUAUACUGGCAACAAAUUCAUUCGUGUGGUCUCAUGGUUCCAUAUCACUCCCUAUUUGGAGGCUAUAGGAUCUUAUUGUCACUCACAAUAAAACACAACAUUAUUUGCGAGCGUUUUUAUUGAUGAAAAUAUCAUACGAUAAAAAAAGCCAUAUGUUUCAAUUUCUAUUCGAUAUUCCACUCGCGCAAUUUAAUGGCUUUGAAUCCGUACUGAUUCCACGGAACAAAUGAUCAAAUAUCCCAUCGAUGUUAACUUGGGCAUUAAAGCACAGUAUCUCAGAAAAAAGCAAGCGCUUGCAGGGUUCAUCUCGAGGCUCUAGUACGUUCUAGUGGGGUCAAUUAGCGCACGUUAAUUUCAUUAAACGAGGCAGAUUUUAAGGCAUGGAUAUGGGCAGACAGUAACCGAUGCCUUCAAUUCCGCUGCUUUGAUUAGCAAGGAUUUCAAAAUCUAUGCCAAACUCAUGUAAAUCUUUGGGAUAAUGAUGUAAAUAGCAUCUAAAUUUUAAUUUAAUGUGCAAUGUGAUCAUUAAAUUUUAGCUGGACAUGCAAUGUAAUUCCUGGACUUUCGAUUUAUAUUACGUGAUCUUAUAUUCAUUUUAUUCCUUGAACUAUAUAAAAAAAAAAUUCAUGUAGUCUCUGAACUUGAAUUAAUUGAAGGACUACAUAAAACAUUUUCAUAUAGUUUAUACACUAAAUUGAAUUAAAUUAUAUAGGAUAAAUUAAAAUUUUAGAAAUUACAUUAUAUUGAACUAAAAUUCAUAGAUCAUGUUGACUAAAUUUGAAUUUUUUUUUUUUAUCAGUUCUACUCUACACUCAUUCUUAGACUUUUGUCCUGCCUCUUGUAGGGCGUGGGAGUCGAAACUCACUCCUGAAACUUACGUGUCCCCACCCCAUCCCCUUUAGAAGGUAGAAAUUAUGUUGACUAAAUUUGAAAUUUAAAAAUUAUAUUUUAUAUUGAGUCAAAGUUUAAAUAUCGGACUUUUUCCUAGAUCUUUGUAAGUAAAAAUCGAAGAAAAAUUCCACGAGACCGCGUUGGAUCGGCUUGGCGGCGACGGGGUGAAACCGGCCUCGGCAUAACUAAAGGAUUCUUAUGUUCUUUCAUGUUGUCAUUCCAUUUGCCGCCGUACCUAAAACUCAGCCACUGCGACUCUGAGAGAGAGAGAGAGAGAGAGAGAGAGAGAGAGAGAGAAUUUCAGCAAGGGUAUGAAAAUUUAAAGCCCCGCACAGAAAAAAAAAAGGAUUCUUUAUCACGAUUUUAUCAUUUUAAGCCCUGACACUUGCAGGCCCUCUCUCUCUCUCUCUCUCUUAUAUAUGAGUCUCUCAUUUGCAGAGAAGAGGCUUUCCUUUAGCAGUACUUUGCUGCAACUGGGUUCUUUCGUUGCGAUCUUCUCCAGCUUUUUCGUGUUGGGAUCUCCAGAAAAGAGAUCAAUCUCGGUUCUUGGAUGGAUGCGCGGCUCUGUUUCACCGUUUCCAAGAUCUGUACAUCACUGUGAAUAGCGGGAGUCCAGGAAGGAACUCCACACUCUCUGGAUUGGCCUCUGUUCGUCUCCCCUCCCAUAGGAGUUUCAAGCAUCGUCUGCUUAGUCUGGUCAGUCUCCCUCCCUCGUUUGUAGAAUGCAUCUGAUGUUGGCCUGCCGCACCGAAUCUGAACUCUCUCUGUCUUGGCAAUUUCAUUUCAGUUUAGCAAGCACGCUUUUCACUUUCCAACGGGGUAGAUCACUCCCAAAUCGGUAACUGUCGCUUUCUGAACUUAAAGUCCAUAAAUUUGCAGGUUGAAUUGGAAGAACCAAAACCCAAAGUCCUUCCUUUUUCGACCCCCCAUCAGUCACUCACAAUUUACACGAAAUCUCGCUCAAAAGAUCCUGACUUUGGCCAAAUCUCACCUCCCUCUUGCGUAUCGAUCCCUACCCAGUAAUCAAAAUUACCCAGAGUAUAUAAAAAUAAGAAUGGGGAAGCCAUCGACGAAGAGGGAUUGGUCGCAGAUCUACGUGAUAUACGGCAUGGAGCAGUGGCAGACCCUGCUCUUCCUCCUGCUCCACGCCGUCUUCUUCUCCUCCAUGUCCGUCCUCUUCCUCCUCUACUUCGACCCCAUCUGCGCCUACAUCGAGGCGACCCUCCUGUCCUCCGCCGCGUGGGCCCGGUUCGCCGCCGGCUUCGCGGGGUGCGUGACGGCGCUGUCGGCGGUCUGCCUGUUCUACGCCGCCGGGAACUUCUUCUACUCGGCGCUGCCGCUGCACCACGACAUGGCCCAGCGGAUCGUCGGCGCGGUCAGCGACUGGUCGACGGUGAAGAACGCGCUCGACCUCGGGUGCGGCCGGGGGAUCCUGCUGAAUGCGGUGGCGACGCAGCUCAAGAAGACCGGCAGCUCAGGACGCGUCGUGGGGCUGGCCCAGUGCAAGCGGACCGCUCUCUCUACGUUGAGGACCGCAAACAUGGAAGGUAAUCUCUGUUCCAUCGUCUUUCAGAUUUCCAUAUGGAAAAAGUCGAACAACUUCACGUUUGAUCGUCCAAUGGAGGAUGAAUCCGCACGUUUGCUUCUUAUCCGAUUUACGGAGUAACACUUAAUAGGAUAAGCCAUGAAAUUUUAAGUCUACAACAGACUUCAGAAAAGGAAAUCUGGAUUCAUUACUUCCCUCACGUGAGAACAUUCUCUAUGUAAAAACCGGCAGGCGUGCAAGAGUACGUGACGUGCCGGGAGGGCGACGCCCGGAGGCUGCCGUUCCCGGACAACUACUUCGACGUGGUGGUGUCGGCGGGGUUCGUGCACACGGUGGGGAGGGAGCACGGCCACCGGACGGCGGAGGCGGCGGGGGAGAGGAUGAGGGUGGUGGGGGAGCUGGUGCGGGUGCUGAAGCCCGGCGGGGUCGGGGUGGUGUGGGACAUGGGGCACGCGGCGGAGUACGUGCGGCGGCUGCAGGAGCUGAGGAUGGAGGACAUCCGGGUGUCGGAGCGGGUCACGGCCUUCAUGAUGAGCAGUCACAUCGUGUCGUUCGCCAAGCCCAGCGAGCACGUUGUGGGCCUCGGCGAGGUCCGUUUGGACUGGAGAUGAAGGAAAGGUUUAUACUCUAUACCGUAUAUUUUCCCAUAUUUAAUUACGGUUAUAUAACUGUAUAAUCGUUCUUUUGGAGAGAAAAAAAAAAUAUAUGUAUUGAGAGAGUGAAAAUGAGAAUAUUUAGGGGAAUGGACAAAUAAAAAAAAAAAAACUUUUUCUAUUUUGGGUAUGUUUUUUUUUUUUUUGGAAUCUAGUCAAAUGUCUGGAGAGGCGAAGUCAAACUAGGUGCAUUUGAUUGGAUCACCAGAUAAGUUAAAGAAAGAGAGUAGGUAAAUUAUGGCCAUCAAGAAAAUUAUUGUUUGAUGGCAAGGAAACUCUGAUGAAGACUUGAUAUUGUACAUAUUCAUUAUCUUGCACGGGUUUGAUUGUUUCACGAAAUUUCAAUUUCUAAAUGUUUUUGCGGAUUCAAAGUACUACAAUACAAGAUUACUGCCAAUUCCCCAUGAUUAAGCUAAUUUGCUCGGUCUACAUGAAAAAGCUUAUGAUAUUGUACUUGUCAACGCUUUUCGAGUGAUUUUUUGUUUGGUAAAGAAUGGUCAAUAGUAGCUGAAUCCAAUAGUUGUCGCUUACGUGGGUUGUCGUCCAAUCGGUAUUGCGAAACUAUAGUUGCGUAGCAGCUAUUUUCUAUUGCGAAAUGUGGGAUGUUUGAGUUAUCAUGAUAUCGAUCAUUCCGUCCUUUAUUUUUCCUUUCUUUUUUGAGGGAAAGUAUUGCCAUUGGGAAUAAAAUUAGACAAGUCGGUGCAAGCUAGAGUGGUUGAUAAAUCAUAGGUUUUUGUAUAACAAUAGGCCGCGCCCAUUCAUUUGAAUAAAGUGAUCCAAAGCAAGCAAUCAUAGGCAUUAUUCAUAUCCCUUCAUUCAUAUUGCUUUCUCGUCCCCACAAGGAGUGGAACAGAAAGUGAAGUGCUUAAAAAGAUGGGUGGACAAACGUAAAGUCUCGAGCGCGUAGCGAAAAAGGUAAAAAGCAAAGCGAAGGGAAAAAGAAAAGAAAAGGACAUUCCAUUCGACUUUUUCUAAAGUUGAAAUUGAAGCUCCUUUUUUCCCCCUUUUCCUUUCUUGUGGGUAUAUUCAGUUUUGAAUAACUUUCCCGGUUGCUUUUUAGUAUUUUACUGCCCUUUCCACGUAAAGUGAAAAUGAAAGGUGUGAAUUUGUGCAAGUAGCGGCUCUAUUAUUUAGUGGGUGCAAAAGGGGAUUGCAAAUCCUUCAUUUUCCCCCCCUUUCUCCACCAGCCGGGCUUGACUAGUGCCCGAUCGGGUCGGGGUUGGGCUUCGUGAUUUAACGUUUUUAUUCAGACCCGUCCGGAUUGCUCUUCGGAUCCACUCCAUCUUUUCGUCUUUGCCGGGGAUAGAAGAUCAUUUCCUCCCCUUCAAUUCCCCCUGAUUGUCAAAAUUAGUCCCCAUCUUUUCCUUUUAUUUUGUUUGCGCCCCUUCAGUAAUAUCAAGGACAGUUGAUCAUUUGGGCCUAAAUUUCUAACUAAGUCCACCAUCCGCAGACAAGAUUUCAUGUACCAAUUUGUUGGACCGAGCUGGCCGGCUCAAGCCCAGCAGGGCCGGUCUGGAUUUUCUUAAGCUUAAUACAGGCCCCUCCUAAAAAAUACACCUCGAGCCUUGUGCAAAUCAUGAUGACUUCUCACUCGGACCGGCUAGAUCAUUCAAAAUUUUGCUCUUGAAAAGGAAAGGCAAACGGUGGAAACUCCAAAUAAGAGUAGGAAGUGAUCAAACUAGCUUAAUUAAGGGGCUCGAGUUCACCUGAACGGCCAAAUCUUUGCUAACCGGUGACUAGAGCAGGGGCAAUCUUAAUCGAAAAUUUCUAGCUUUGACCCAAACUGAAGGAGCCCCGAAUUGUAGUAGGUAGGGUUCGUGCUCUAGAUUCCCAAUUUCGUUUAUACCCAAAUCGAAGCUAAGGUUGCAGAUCACUCCAAGUUCUCUUAAAGAUCACUCGCCGGUAAAGCCCAUAUCGUGGAUAGGGUGGACUUCAUCUCGACCAGCUUCCACUGGGCAUUGUCAACGGCCUUAUGGUCAGGGAGUCGUCGAGGGUCAUGAGGACAAAUCGAGUUUGGGUGACGUUGGUGAUUGUUGGCCAUGGAGGCGAAGAGAGUGGGGCGGGCAAGGCAAAGAACUCUAGCUUCCAUUCGAAACUUCAUCAAUUUAGGUUAAACAAAACAUUUCGGACAAAAUUGCCUCUCCUCUGGAUAUUAGCCAAAUCUCGGGUUCCUAUCUGAAACUAAAUUAGUCACUUUAACCUUUUAUUUAAGAUAAAAUCUAUAAUGAACUGUCUUUGAAUAAGACGGCCCCUCAUUUCAUGCUUUUUUCUAAGAUUUUUCCAAACAGAUAUGUUGAUUAAAUGGGCAAGGAGUUUAAAGAUUUCUUGAAACUGAUCUAAAGGGGUGUGGGUCGCAAGUGUCAUAGUAAUUCGGAUCAUUGAAAGGAAAAAAGAAUGUCAUGAAUUUUACUGGAGCCCUGAGACGGUUGAACGAGCAAACACCUUAGCAUUUAUCAGCAAACAGCCAUGUUCCAUCACGAAAAAAACAUUCGAAAAACUAAAUAUUAAAAGGAAAGAAAGAAAAGAAGGAAACAAACCGAAACCGAAUGAAAUUGCUGGAAAGAUAGAGAUAGGAUUCCGGCGCGCCAAAAGGCCCCUCUCCUCCAACUACCAACGCCCAUUCAUGGCUUCCCCUCUAUCCUCAUCUCCGUUCUUCUCUCACACUUUCAAACCCUCUCCCAACUUCCUCUCCAAUUCUCCAAAGCGAAAGUGGGUCAACACCCAUUUCGCGUUUCCGAUAAUCAAUGAGGAGCGCAGCAAAAACGGUGCCCAUACGGGCAGUUUCAAGAUCUACUGUGGUCCUUCUAACGAGGGUGUACAGGUCGGUUUUGAAUUAUUUAUUUUUCUUCCACGAUGACACCGCUUGAUGGGUUUCGUAAUCUCACUGUCUUGGUGGUACAUGCUCAUCGAGUAGCAAAUUCUUCUUCUUGAUGGCUCUGUACUUUAAUGGACAUUGCGAGCUCAAUUCGCCAAAUUUCGCGUAAUGGCCUAAUCUGGGAGAGAAAUCACCUAAAACGAGCAUGUCGAUUUUCUUGAAGAAAUCGGGGUGACCCUGUGUGCUUUGUGGACGGUGUUAUCAAUGAGAUAAGUACAGUUUUGAUAUUGUGGAUGAAGUGUUUUGAGGAAAUGUAUGGAUUAAAGAAGAGUUGUAUCACUGGUUGUAGCUAUGACUUUGUUUUCCAUUGUAAUUUGGGAAGGAAGAUUACAUUUUUUUGGAGCUGCAAUUUUGCUCCUGAUGAUUAAGUCAAGGAAAAUAAGCCGCGGUCAACCUGUUUUUAGUGAAUCCUAGCCAUCUUACUGAGUCAUGAUAUAGUUCUUAAGUUGCUGCACAAGAUUACGUGCACAUUCUUUCUCUUGUAAGUUCCUGCUCUAUGGAAUGGGGUUUCAGUGAUGCAGGGUAAAUUGGAGCAUAAAGGCUUUCCUUUCAACUUCUUCCUAACAAAUCAUGGACAUGCGUUAAAGAAACUCGAAAGUCUCGUCGCUACAGCCCUUAUUUUCGUUCAUAUUGCUUCUCCAAUUACUUCGUUGGGUUGGGAUCAUUGGUCUAUUGCCCCAGCCAAUGCUGUUCUCUACUCUCCUGACACCAAAGUUCCCAGAACCGGGGAACUUGCUUUGAGGAGAGCUAUCCCGGCGAACACAAAUAUGAAGGCUAUACAGGUCAUUAGUCACGGUUCUGUCAUUCUUUAGAUCCUCUCUCACCAGAUAAGUGAAGCCUGUCUUAAUUUGCUUAUAGGAAUCAUUGGAGGACAUCUCGUACUUACUGAGAAUACCACAGAGAAAGCCAUACGGAACCAUGGAGGGUAAUGUCAAGAAAGCUCUUAAGGUACCGGUAUUUUUCCUUUUUUAUUUUAUGUGGUGCACAGUGUAGGAGUCGGGUGUCCAAAGCAUUCUCAUUGUUGAAAAUUAUGUUAUCGAGAAACACCCAUCUCUUCCCAAACCUGGCCUAUUUUGUUCAAAAAUUUACUAGAGAGUUUCAUGAACUAUUUUAACUUGGUAAUUCUACUAUACUGUUCAGGUCUUGUGUGUUUUCUCAUUUACCAUCAGUUUCUAUUACUUUUACUUCUGGAUCUUUUCCUUGUGACCUCAUAUGAUAGUCUCUCCAAAACCUAAUUUAAUGUUCCCCUAUUUUAGAUAGCAAAGGAUGAGAGAGAUUCUAUUUUGACCAGUAUCCCAGCAGAGCUGAGAGACAAAGGUUCAUCGCUGUAUGCAUCUCUCAUUGAUGGGAAGGUAUGGUAAGGUACUCGAGAAUAUGUAAGCUCUGUUAUUCUUUAACCUGAUGUGGAUUGCAUGAAUACCAAAAUAGGGAGAGGACAUAUUGAUUCUGGACUCCCCUAAAUGAUAAACCCAGCGGAUUAGCAGAACAGAAAAGAGACUCCUAAAUUGUGCCAAAUCCUCUCAAAAUUCUUUCCUGUCCUCUUUGCUACUACUUUACUACAUAACCACUGUCAAAAAACGUUGUGCAAUGAUAACUCAAUCUAGUGUGGAUGGUAGAGGAGAGGGCAAACUUUUUAUUUCUGGCACCCAAGCAAAUUCUAUAUGAUCUCGGCCUAGGUACCUGUCAGCAAUAUCAUUAUGGUGCUUCAUCAAAUUUUUCUUGAUCGUACUUGGCUGUGCCAUUUUUCCUUUACCAGAUCUACCCAAAUGAUCCAAAGUUUCUUCCUUUUCUCAGGGUGGAUUGCAGGACCUCCUUCAGGGUAUCAAUGAUAAGGACCCCGAUAAAGUAUCUGUAGGCCUUGCAUCAUCAUUGGAUGCUGUUGCAGAAAUUGAACUGUUGCAGGUGGUAGUUAUGCUUUAUAUUGCUAGCUCCUUCUUGCAUCUGCAGACUUUCAACUGCACUUCCUUACCCUUCAUCUUACAAGAGAAUAUAACAAUGGCUAGAUUCUGAACUCCUACUUUGCAACAGGCCCCUGGAUUGUCCUUUCUUUUGCCAGAGCAAUACUUGAAAUAUCCUAGGUCAGUCCUUUUGAGAAACGUUGAAUGACUAUUUUGUUUUCUUACAAUUUAGAUUCUUAUUUGAAUAAAAUACAAACAGAUAUUAUCAAGUAAUAGAAUUUGCCCAUUUCAAGAAUACUUGUUGACGGUAAUGGCCUUAUGGGUGGUAAUAUAGAUCUGGUAUGAGAAUGACUCAUGAGUCAUGAAAUAUGAACAGGUCAGUAGGGAAGUAGCAAUGCCUGCCAUGAUAUCUUUUUAAAUUGAACUUUUUGGCUGCAUUAGGAUUUUUUAUGCAGUUCUUUUCCUGUCUUAAUUGGUAUAUUAAUAUAAUGGGCAAGAUAACAUCUUUUCCAAAAAUUUUGUUGCAGGUCAAUUUCAUCAUAACUCGACAAUGAUACAAUGGUCUUUCUACUCGACCUAACUUCAUAUACUAGUUAGGGUUGCAUAAUUUCAAGAUGACAAAUGCAUACAAUUAUCUAGUUCCUAUUUCAAGAACGCUCUCUGAUGUGAAAACUAUCCAAUUGACAUGCUGUACUUCCUAUGUAUAACUAUCUGCUGUUCUCAUUGAUAUUUAUUACUUCAAUAAACUGCACAUCUGAGUUCUACCACUUGUAGACUAACGGGAAGAGCAACUGUUGAACUUACAAUCGAGAAAGGGGAUGGAACAGCAUUUUCACCUGAAGCUGGAGGUGAACCAAGAAAGACCGCCACGAUUCAGGUAUCCACAGUUCAACAUAAAUUAGUUGACAGAGUAAUGCCCUUUGUGUGUGAACAGAAUCUAACAUGGAGAAACUGCAAUCAAAUAGCUUUCACUACUAAAAUAAUUGAGGAUAUCUAUUUUCUUUUAAGUUGUGAUCCCAAAAUUCUCAGAGCAGUUUGGACUCUUCCCAAUAUUCCAAACAAAUUAGUGUGAAAAAGUUUGGCGGUUAACAUUUUUCAUCAUGCUAUAGAGCUAGAGGAAAACUGAAGAAUCUCAGGUCACAGAUACUAUUAAUUCUCACUUCUCAGUAUGGAAGAAUGUUCGGAGCCAUUCAUCUAAGUGUUCACCAUGAACGACAGCAUGCUUUGUGAUGGUCAGACUGAGACUAACCAAGCAAUGUGGGGAUACUGGGUCUAGUAGGAAGUCUUUCUGACUAUAUAAGUACAGACGUAACCACUAUCUGAAAGCAAUACAUAGAUAUUCAAGAAGGAGGACUGUAAGAAGAAUGCAUCCGUCGGUUCUUGUGCCCUUGGACUGUCAUGUGCUUGGCUAGCCAGCUGUAUCACUAUUGGGUUGAUUUUAUGAACCCAUGGAGUUAUCGAUUUGCAGAGCCCUGCACAUUUAUUUUCAGGCGCUAACUAGUGUAGCUAGUGUCAAGUUAGUCCACAUGGUAUGGUUCUGACUGCUGUACAUGAAACGGUUUAUGCAGAUGGUUAUUGAUGGAUUCUCAGCGCCGUUGACUGCAGGAAAUUUUGCAAAAAUGGUGAGGUACUCGAACUCCUCUUUUAGCCUCUGGAAACAAUUGUCUAGUUCAGUUGAUGUUUGGCAUGCUGUGUGUCGAUCAGGAUGUGGGAUACAAAUGAGUAAAAGUUCAUAUAUGUACUUUACUUGUUUUAGUGUUCAAUCGGUUUUAUUUCGUCUCAACAUACGGUUGCUUAGUUUUAUAUGGGAUAAAUGAAAUGAAAUAUGGUUAAACGAAAAAAAAAGAAAAAAGAAGUGAAGAAAGCAGCAUGCCGAAGAUGUUUCCUCUCAUUUAACGGUGAAAGCAUGGUUAAAAUUAGCUUGAUGGAAAAAAAUGCUGCAUAGGACAAUACUUAAAGUUAGGUGAAGUAAACUGGCAUACUGCUAAAUAUGUGAUAGCUCUUUAUUCUUGGAUUUCCCACCGGAAAUAGGGAAAAGAAGAAGUUAGUGGUCAGCCAUUUGGGUAUUUUAUCUAUUGUUUCAGCUUUUGAGGCAGAAUCCAGACGGUUUAUAUGAGUUUGCUUUUCCCAUGGCCUUCAGUUUGGAGUUUUACAAGUCAACGCUUCUAUAAUGGCAUCGGGAUGGCUGAUUCAAAAUCAAUGAUAUGCACAGAAUUCCCAUUUGUUAUUCAUAAGUGUUGAACUUAGUAAUAUGUUCAAUAAGCCAUAUUUUUCUUUCCAUAGGGAGUAUUAGUGUUUCAUAUUUGCGAUCAAACUCUCGACAGUAAGCACCAACAUCCUGUUGGAAGAUUCACAAUUGCGUCAAAAUCUGUAGGUAGUUGAUGGAGCAUAUGAUGGGGCAAAGCUCAGUUGUGCCAACCAAGCUGUCCUCACAGAUAGUGGCAUUGAUAAGAGCACUGGCUUUAGAAUUCCUUUAGAGAUAAUGCCAUCUGGGCAAUUUGAACCAUUGUACAGGACAACAUUAAGUAUACAGGUAAUAACGUCUCUUCUUCCUCCUUAUUUUAAGUCUGUUAAAACUGACAAGAAUAUUUCUUGGUGGCAUUGAAGGAUGGUGAGUUGCCAGUUCUUCCUAUGUCUGUUUACGGGGCAGUAGCAAUGGCGCACAGCGCUGACUCUGAUGAAUACUCUUCGCCUUCCCAGUUUUUCUUCUAUUUGUAUGAUAAAAGAAAUGUGAGUAGAGUUGAGCUAUAUUCAAUUGGAACUCAAUGAUUAUAAAAUGAUUAGGUGUCCUUAUGUGUUCACAUUUUGGUGGUGUAGUCCGGGCUUGGAGGUAUAUCUUUUGACGAAGGGCAAUUUUCUGUUUUCGGGUAGGUAUUUAAUCCUUUGAGCUUUUUCCUUGUAAUGCAGACCUGAAGAUUUUUAAUUUGGACAAACAUUUAUAUCCUUGUCUAACAAGGCUCUCUGUUUGGCAGCUACGCAACUACAGGGAGAGAUAUCCUUUCACAGAUUAAAACAGGAGACGUUAUUCGAUCUGCAAAGCUAGUGGAAGGCCAAGAUCGCCUCGUAGUCCCUAGUGAAAGCUAACCUGCUUGUUUUUUUAACCAAGGAAUGGAAUUGUUCACAUACGAGGAUUCAUACCUUUGCCCUGUUUUAUAUCAGAUGUCUUGUUGGAACCCUUUUGGCUGUAAAAUGCAAGAAGUCAUUGUUUGUCGUGUUACCAUCAUGCUUUGGGGCAAUUGCUUUGAUCGAAUUUUGUCGUAAUUCUAGAACAGUCUCCAUUCAUCUAGAUUUCAUUAUCACUCUUCAUCGUAUAAGUUGUGGCCAUCUCACAACCUCAUAUUUUCAAAGUUUCAGAUCUCAUGUUACGAAAAACCAGUUAUGAAAAAGAAUAUUCCGUGCUCAUCCUAAAUUUUGCUAUUCGCUGGAUGUAAUCCACCUACAAGAAGACAAGUCUUCUUGAGCUGACCUCUCCUUUGAAUUCUUAGUAGCUGGAAGAAAGCAACGUGGAUGUAGUUACAGACCACGUAUUUUUUGGAAAAUUUUAGGGUUUUCUCUGUUGAACUUGUUACAAGAUAGAACAGAACACAUCCACAGUUUGGCUCAUUGUGGUGAUUAGAUAGUGACAUGAAGCAGGUCGAGCUUCAGCUGAAACCGGAAGAGAGAUGAUACCCAAGUCUUCCAAUGCCCUCUAAACAAAUGAUCCAUGUGUGCCCAAUCUGGCCUCAGAAAUUUGAAUGGCUAACAUAAAAAAAAGAAGGGGGGAAAAAUAGCAGAAAAUCCGCAGGAUGAGGAGAUUUUUGGGAUGCAAUCUUUCUCGCCCACAUAAAUUUGUGGGAGCAAAUUUCUUUUCAUGUGGGUCCACAUAUGACAAGGGACCUUGAAGGGGACGAUGGAAAUGUCAGGCUCUCAUUGGUUUGAAUCUUGGAUUUUGCAAGCCAUGGUUGGUUCUUCCUCUCAAGUUGGAGAAGAAUCUCUCUCUGUGCAGCAUCACUGCCCCACCAAAAUUAUAAGUCGGUCAAUCUUAAUUGUUUCUGAAUUUCCUGGUUCCACCCACCACGGUAAUCGGCUAAAUUACAUAGGAUCAGGUUCCAGUUCUUUUUUUAUUGUUCUGCUCAUUGUCUGAAUCUCAGAAUCUACUCAUCUGCUGAGGUGGACAUCGUCGACCACGUAGCAGAAAGCUGCUCUGCAUCCCAGCCUAACUCCAGCUCCAUACACCAGCACCUCAAAACCCAAUCACCCUUCAAAUCAAAACUUUGACUUUCCUUGAUUUCACCAAGUCAACUCAUCCCAUGGCUCAUCUCAUCAGGAGCCAUCGCAAAGCACUUUAGACCUGCCCACAGUAAAACCAAACCCACUGCAUGCAAAAAAAAUUUGACCACAUAUAUAAUCCCACCCUAUCUCCUUCUCCAGAACUUGGAGAAAAUCGCAGAACUGAGUCGAGAAUUUACUUCCAACUCGGGUCUCUCCCAAACUCAUUGACCCGCAGCCAUCCAUGGCUUCCAUCUCCCCGCGAAGCCUCCUCCCUCUCCCGAAAAUGGGCCCGAACCCACUUCACCCUCCGUCUCUUUCCCCCGCCAAGCUCGCAAAGCUCCCGCCUUUCCCGCGGAACAGGCCGAGGCUCGGCGGAUUGAGGCUCGUCGCCAACUCGGUCGUCGAGGAGUUCGACGUCAUCCCGGUGCAGAGCGGGGACAGCACGGACCAGCAGGAGGGCUUGUCGGUGAGCCUGGAGAGGGCAGGGGAGGCGGCCGAGCUGGUGAGUCAGGUGGGUGGGUUCGCGACGAGCGAAGGGCAGUUCCCGUUCGAUGGGUUCUCUUCGGCGUCUUCGGGCGCUUCGUCGUCUUCGAGCGGAGUUGAGAAGGACGGAAGCGAAGGGAUGGCGAGGUUGAUCGAUCGGAGUAUCAAUGGGAUGAUCGUGUUGGCCGCCGGUACUUAUGCCAUCACCAAGUUGCUCACGAUUGACAGCGAUUAUUGGCAUGUGAGUGGAUUCGCAUUGGUUCGUCAUUCUUUUUGUUAUGUAAUUUGGGUGAUUAAUUGCCGUGAAUUUGAGUUAAAUUUGAAUCUUUCUGCCAGUUAUAGGAUAGACGGAAGGAUGCAGAGCAAUUCUUUGGUUCUGUGAAUGAUUUUAGUGCAUUUCUUGUUGAGGUAUCGUUGAUUUGCGGAUUGAGUUGUUUGGUAGAGCUAUCUUUUAUGGGGGUUCUGUGAAUGAUGUUAACUCAUUGUUAUGAUCAUGAUUUUGUAAGAAUUGUCUGAGCCGAAAAGCAUGGAAUUGGAAAUUGACUUUGAUGUGGAAGCAUACGAGUAAAUGGAGCCUCGAACAGAAGAACUUAAGCUGGGAAUUGGUAGCAUCCUUAACAUGUGGUUUGAAUGGAUUUGUGCUCUAUAUAAAAAUAUUGUUGAGUAGUGCUCUAUGUAGAAAUUGGUUGCCCUCAAGUUGACACUUGAUGAGGAUAAAAGAAAUGACAGCCAAACUGGAGUUAUCUGGAUGAUGAGAAGUCUAUGGUUUCAUGAUAUAGCUUUCUGGAUGAUGAGAAGUCUAUGGUUUCAUGAUAUAGCUUUAUCAAGCACCUUUCUUCAUCAUAGCUUGAUCCAGUGUGAGGCAUGUGAAAUUAGUGAUCAGUUGUCUUUUCAUUUAAUUCUUUAAAGGUGCUUGGAAAAAUCUCUCUUUUCUUGACCUUUGUGCAUUGCCUACUAAAUACCGAGAGAGGAUCUCAGAUUUGAGAACGAAUCUCAUUUAUCACUAUGUUGGGUUAUAAUUGUCUGUUCAUGCAACUUAUCAUGAUGAUGCGUCUUGUUGAAUUGCUUUUGGUGUGCUUCUAGGGAUGGACUAUUUAUGAGAUAGUGCGGUAUGCACCUCUACACAACUGGAGUGCUUAUGAGGAAGCUCUUAAGACAAACCCUGUUUUAGCCAAGAUGGUUAUUAGUGGAGUGGUAUACUCCGUUGGGGACUGGAUUGCACAGGUUUGUUGCCAUCAGACAAACUUGAGAGUUUCAAGCUUAAGAUACCGGGCUUCAUUCUACAAUUGCUGACUUGUAACUUUUGCAGUGCUUUGAAGGAAAACCACUCUUUGAGUUUGAUAGAACACGGAUGUUCAGAUCGGGCCUUGUUGGAUUCACACUUCAUGGGUCUCUUUCUCACUAUUACUAUGAAUUCUGCGAGGUAAUUGAAAUUUUCCCAUUUUACGUUAAAAGAGUAUUUCUUUCCACCGUUGUGUGAGCUCCACUCUUUUUUUUUUUUUAACAGGAGCUUUUUCCUUUCCAAGACUGGUGGGUGGUACCUGUCAAAGUAGCGUUUGAUCAAACAGUGUGGGCAGCGAUUUGGAACAGCAUAUACUACACUGCUUUGGGUUUCUUACGUCUAGAAUCCCCAAUCAACAUAUUUACUGAGCUGAAAGCAACUUUCUGGCCUAUGUUAACAGUGAGUAAUCCUAUCCUUGGUUGUUUGUUCUUUUUUCCUCAAGUUGGUGGCACAGUUGUAGAAAGAUGAAUCUGAUCCAACCUACUCUCAUUCUGCUGAGAGGAGUUGAACACUUGAGAUAAUGAAUCUUUUAAUUUGUUGAAGCUACUGUCUUGUUCAUCUAGUGAACUCAUCAAAAAUCCAAAUAAGCGGUUGAAGUUUGAGAAAAGGAAAACAGAGACAUUUUCCUAUUCCUUAAUCUUAUGAGAAAAGCUUGCCUGCUUACAGUUUUUUUUUCUCAUUAGCAAUCUGGGCUAUAAUUGAAUUUCCUUGACUGAGACCUGCAGCUGUCGUGCCUUGCCCAGUAUGCUUACUUGUUUCAUGCCUUUUCUCCACAGGCUGGGUGGAAGCUUUGGCCAUUUGCUCAUCUGAUUACCUACGGUGUGGUCCCAGUGGAACAAAGGCUUCUUUGGGUGGACUGUGUUGAGCUCAUAUGGGUGACAAUCCUCUCAACGUGAGUUUUAAUUAUAUAGACUCUGACUCGAUUAAGGCUGGAUCAUCAUAGUCCUGUGAUAAGAAUUAUUUAGUUUGUAAAUUACGUCCUGCAUAGGGUGUAGUGUUGGAAGUAGCGCUCUAUUUUAUAGCUUAAAAACGUGGGUCUGAUAGGGAGACAUGCCUAUAGCACGUAGUGAAUCGUAGGGUUGGUUUGUUUGAAGUAAAACUAUUUCCAAGAAAUUGUUUUCUAACUUUUUGGUUUUUGGAUAACAGAAAACUAAUCAGUCUAAGGAAAACGUUUUCUAUGGACUCAAAACAACAAGUUUAGAUUGGGGGAAAACAACUUCCCAUUUUGGCAAAAAGGAAAUCACUUUUCUUAAACCACCAAAUGAAUGAAAAGUAACCAUAUUCCUUGAAUUUGAUUUUCAUGGAAAAGAUUUUCAUUUAUCAUGAAGUUUUUAGUGAAACAAAUAUCACCGUAAGUUUGGUUUGAAGAGUGUCCAUCUGCAUUGCCAAUUUGCUCAAAUGGUCAUUAUUUAACUGGUACUUGUUCUUGAAGUGGUGACUCCGAUGAAUUUUGAUUGCUCAGUUGUGACGCUUUAGCAGACUUGUCGAGACUUUACAGCCUAGGUCAUUGCCCUAUUUGCUGCUUAUAUGUUACCCCAGUUCUAUACCAAUCUUUGUUGGUCUCUCUCUCUCUGUAGCUAUUCAAACGAAAAAUCAGAAGCAAGAAUCGCUGAGGUUCCAGCUGAAGCCAAUCCCGGCGCACAGUCGCUAAAUCCUCCCGAGGUAAAAAGAAUCACCAUGGUGCAUUUGUUUUAGUGGACAGGAAAAGGCCAUCUCACACUCUGGAAAAUUUCCGCGUUUACAGGAGCGAUAGGUGUUGUAACAAGCAGAAACAGUAGUCUUGAGGACGCAUCUAUUUUUCGAACUUGGCCACAGUGGGAGAGAGAGGAAUCUUCCUUAGCAAUGGAACACACUCGUCGACAGAGCAAUGGAAAUGCGGGUCUAGAGUUAUCAGAUUAUCGAUGAUGUACAUGGGUGUCAGAGAUCUUAAGUAUAUAGUUCCUAUAUCACCAUCCUCCUUUCUUAUGCUCGUGUAUAAAAUUUAUCAUUACGUAAUUAUCUCUAACUUCACAUUGCAUUAUUCUUACAUAGAGAGAAAAAGGAAAUAAAUAGAAACCCAUCCCGAUGAGUAUUGUAGGAAUUUCUGCUUGCAGAGCCACAUUUUUCUCUCUGUGUCUCUGGUUUUUCUUACCCCAUCUGCUUGUCCUACCACAUAACUGCACGAAUAUGCAGAUUAUCAGUAAAUAUUCAAUCGAGCACUUUCGACACAAAGAUCUUGCAAUGGAUCAAGUGGUUGUGAUGUGGUCGUAUUCAAGUGUCCGACAGGAACAGGAAUUUGUCAUCAGAGCGAGUCUGUGCAAUCACAUGUGCUUCUAUGGGCCACUUAUGUAUUUGUGGCAACGUACCCACUGUAGCAUGUUCAUCGUUUCUUUUGCAGGCGCUGCCUUUUAGAUUUCUAUCUUAUUUUGAGGCUUGUGUUGGGGUAACUAGCCUGUGUUACUAAAGGCUUUUCCAUCUGAACGAAGUAAAGAAAACCGACCAUUGGCUGACUAUUAAACCUGUCAAAGAGGUGGGUCCGAAAAUGGUCUGACCCAGAUUGGUCAUAUUAAAAUCUAUUUUGAUCCAUUUCAAUAUAAUACAAAUCUAGUUACUCAUACUAGAUCCAAUCCAUAUCUAACCAAUAUUAUUAAAAUGCUUUCAUAUGAAAAAUGAGGUGAGAACAUGAUUUAUCUUUAAUAAUUCAACCUAUUAAGUAUGGAUUAAUAAAUAGGUUUAUGUCUCAUUUUGAUAGGUCUGGUCGACUUCUAGUGAGGGAGAAUUUUUCGCUUGGAUGCAAGUCCAAUGGAUUGGAUCAACCAUGUCCAUUAUGGGGAUGCCACGUGGGCCAUAUUCCGUGGGCUCCAUAAGAUCAUCUUGAUUACACUUGGAAUCAUUCGCUGGUGGUCAGGAAUGACUGAUUUUCUUUAUCAGCCUUUUCGACCUUGGUUUGUAGGAGCGAGUCACUAAAAUUGAGAUAUAUAACCACUCGUUUUCAGUAGCCAUAAGAUGUUCAUCUUAGGGCAAUCAUUUGGUUGACGGAUGUUCUUAUUACAUUCGUAGUCUAGUCUCUAAAGAAUGAAAGUCACUUGUGUAGCAUCCACAUUGAGUAUUUAAGUAUUGUAUAUGUCAUUAGAACCUAUUAACUAACAUGGGUCCAUAUGCCGCGAUUAGGUGGAGGUGAGGUUGGCAUAUUGAAAAAAAAAAGAUAUAUGAAGAUUUUCUUUUUACACGAGCAAACUGGUCAAUUUGACAACUAUCCAUUAUUAGUACUUGAAAUGGCUAAAACAUAAUGAGAUUAUGUGCUCACCAUUCUUACACACUUUUUUUUUACUCAAAAAAUUACCAAAAUAAGUCAUGAAUCAAUUGUGUGGAUACAAAUUCAAUUAUAAACAUUUUAAUGUAGCCAAUUGAAUUAAUUUGUUAACAUAGUCAUUUUAAUCAAUUUUAGUUGGCAAUCACUGAUAUGGAUGUUAGACACUGAUGUAGAAAAAAUUUACAAUUUUUUUUUUGAAUCUUUCAUUUCUUUUUUAAUUUCUUUCUUUUUAUUUUUGUGGCGCUAACGUGGACAAUUUUCUUUUUUAUAUUAUUUUCUAUUGGGCAAAGGUGACUCACCCAAUAUAAUUUAGAAUAUUUUUUAAAGAUGCAAAAAAUUGUCCAUGUUAAUGCUAAUUGGAACCAUAUCACCCAACUAAAGAAUCACAUUGAUAAGGCGUUAAAAGGUUUAAAAUUAAAUGAAUUAAAUUAAAAAUUUUAAGAUCAAAUUAAUAGAUGUACAAUAAGAAGUUUGAGGAUUUCUUCUUUCUCUCUCUCUCUCUCUCUCUCUCUCUCUCAGGCACCCUUAUGGCGUUUUUCAACCCAAAACUAAAUUUAUUAAGCAAUAAUAACAUUAUAAUUUAUGAAUUUGACUCAAUAUGCAAUAUAGCAUUUUAAUUUUUUUUAUUGGUUCAAUGCGAUCCCCAAAAAUUUUGCUCAAUGUCUAGUAUCGUCCAUGAAUUUUUUAUUUAUUUAAUGUGAUCCAUUAAUUUUUUAUACAUGUUCAAGCUAGUUUAUAGACUAUAUGAAAGUAUCGAAUAUUAUUUUUCCAUUAACUCAAGUUCAAUGACAACAUUGAAAAGUUUUAUAUGAUUCAAUGGCUAAAUUGAACAUGUAUGUAAAAUUUAAGAAUCACGUUAAACACAAUGAAAAUUCAUAAAUGACCUGCAUAAUGGACUAAAGUUCAUAAACUACAUUAAAUAAAUUAAAAGUUCAAAGAUCACAUUGCACAUUGAGUCAAAGUUUGAGAAUCAUGUAUAUUAUCUUUCCAUUUAAAAAAAUGCAAAUUGUUCAAAUCAGCAUCGACUGACUUCCACACCAUUAGUUUCAGCCCAAUACUUGCCAAAAGAACCAUAUUGGCAAAUUGUCGAAAAGGUUUGAGACUAAAUUGGCUAAAUUGAAAAUUUUAGAACUGAGUUGAUAUCUGCAAAAUAAUGUUAGGUUUUUUUUUCUUUUAUUAUUAUUAUUAUUAUUAUUAUUAUUAUUAUUAUUAUUAUUAUUAUUAUGUUGAUGUUGUAAUUAACUCACUUUCAAUCCGAAUCUUACUUUUGAUCUCAUUCUUUGUUUCCAUUACGACGUUCUCUUUAGGGUUGAGUAUAGUUCAAAGGCAGAACCGGGAACCUAAAAACUGAAGCAGUUGCGGGUUCCAGGAUAUGCAGAGUAAGUUUCAAGUUUUAAAAAUCGGGGAACUUAUUAUGAUGAAUAAGUUCCAGUUCAAAGUGGAACUAAUAACCAGGAACUUAGAAAAAGUGUUUAUGUUUUUCUUAUUUUAUUUUUUCGCGCAAUUCUGCAGUAAAUCAUGACGAAUGAUUAGUAUGUAAUCUAAAACCAUUAAUUUGAGCUUCCGUUUUCGAUAAUAUCUAAGACUUGGACUUUUAUUUUGUUAAUAUUUUAUAAUCUUCAUGUAUUGUAAUUAGUGGAUUGUAGCAAAUGGUAGUCAAUAGAAGUGAUAAUUCACUGCAAUUAUCCAAUUAAAAUUACAAGCGGAAAUUGAGUAAAUCUUUGGACUUGUAAUAGAGUAGAUUCCAGAUUUUAAAAUUAGGGAAAUUAUGCCGAAUAGGUAGAUUUCAAAUUUCAAAUGAAAUCUAACCUGAACCCUAGAACUGUUGGCCCCUAAUUCUCUUUCUCGGCUCUUUGGGCACAAAUCUGGCCAUUCCUUCCCAAAAGUAAAUUUUUUUAAGUCUCAUGGUUUAUCCCCUAAUUGCUUUUGACUUGUAAAGUCCGCAAUCCUUUGCCCUUCAUAGAUUGCGUCAUCCUUUACGUCAUACGACAUUAAUUGCCGUAUCACGUUGCGCCCGACUGACGAGAUUCAAACGUGGGCCUGAGACUUGAAUAACGAGAUUCUUGAAAAAUCCACGAUCUCUCCCGAUCGAGCCCCUAAGCACUUAUUGAUCCAAGUUGUCAUAAUUCCUCGAAAUUAUUAGGUGUUUAGGUGUUCUUGAGAUACUCUCUUCCUCUCACGUGCGUGGACGGUGCAAGGGUUGAAUCGAAUUCUAAUGCCGUUCAAAAACGCUAUAGCUGAGACUAGGGCUUGAUGGUCCAUAAGCCGGUCCAUGUAUAGUUUAUAGAUUGCAUUACUCUUCUUCUGGCUUCAAGAAUCAUCAUGCCUUGCCAACUCUCUUGUACUCUAACCGAUCGACAAAAGAUUGAAAAAAAAAAGAGAAGGGAAAGAAGGAGAAAAAAUCUAACACAGCACACAGCGACUUUAUGAUGUCAGUUACUACGUCAUUAGGGGCAUUCUUCGAUAAGAUCUACUAAUUUAGAGUGCCAUUUAAGAAUCCAAUUUCCCUCCCUUUUGUGUAUUAACGUAAACAGGAUUUACGUCUAGAUCUGAACCACUGAAGACGUGCGCGAAUUCGAUAGCCAUCCUCUCGAAUCAGCGAUCGACAGGGCCGUCUCCUCGAAUCAGCGAUCGACAGGGCUGUACAUCCCGACUCGCGAAAGUCAUGUGAGGAUCACGACUUUCGACUCCUACACGAUAGUUACGUGCAAUUCCAGUAGAGUAACCUUGAUAGGUUGAAUUACGGCCUCGCGAUACGUAUACAAUGGCCAUGUCUAGUGUCCUUGAAUGGGAAUUGUUGAAAACGUAGUGCAUUCCUUUUCUAUUUUGUGCACGAAUAAAGGCCAAUUUUUUUUUCUUUUUAAAAAUCUUUCGCAUUAUAAAGGGAAAAUUCAGAUCUGGGUGGGGGUGGAGUGGCUUGUAGGGUUUGAUGGGAAAGCAUCCUUUCAAGAGGGAGAGAGAUCGAGAAAGAUAAUGUGGCACAUAGCGACGCUAUCUACAUACCAAAACUAAGUAAUUAUGAUAAGGGAAAACUUGUAAAGUUAUUUUGUACUCAUGCCCUAGAAAGGGUAAUGGGAUUUAAUUAAAGGGGUCAGAUUAGUGUGUGGUGUUAAGUUAAUGAUUCCCUUCUGGUGAUGCCCAGAUGGACCCCAGCCCUCGGUCAGCAGCACACAAGAGGAAACCCACUUAAUUGUAUUGAGGCUAACACCACCCCCUCCCCCUCCAUCUUGUCAAUUCAUGCGAAGUGUGCGACAUCUACUAGGUCGUGGAAUAUACUUAACCAUGUCUUAUCAGAGUCCAUGAGCGACAAUGACUCCCAAAAAUCCAAUAUCUCCCCGUUUCUAUUUUCCUCUUUUCCUCUUUUCUUUUUGAGGAUUUUUCUUUUGGGGCGUGAUGAGAUCGAGGAGAGAUGAUUCGAUAACGUAGCUGAAAUCGAGGUUCUCUGCUUCUAGGGCGUGAAGGGGUAGGUGGGAUCGAGUUCGUACGUUCUCGUUCAAAGUCUCGGGACCCUUUCGGUUUAAAUAAUAUUUCUGCUGGAAUAAUGUAGGCUGCUAAAUCUGCCAGAUGAUCAUUGCGCUGUUCAUCGUUUGGUCAGCGAAGCAGCUCGGUCGUUGAAGACCUAAGGACGUCUGAUCUAAGGAGAUGCUCAAAAGAUCUUCCCAGAAUCGCUUUUCCUUUUCACCUUUGGAACGUGCUUCGUGUCUCUUUAGCUUUCUAGUAAAAAGUCAGUUGAUCAUCCUCCUUUCUAAUUGAAAGAAAAAUGCAGGGAGGAGUAGGUAGGGUUUAACUUUACAUAUAUGAAACGGGAAGAGAGGAAAAAAAUAAUGAAAAGAAAGGUUACGGAAACCUUCGAUUAGACCUUAGACCUUACAAUAGAGACAUUGUACGGUAUGACAUAUUCUAAGAUCAAAUAAGAAAAUGGGUAUUCGUUCUUCCAUGUCAAAUCUUGCAGGUUUCAUCAGGAUGACCGGAUGAUGAAGAUUACUAUGGCAUAAACACGUCACGCGUGUAUUGUAUAUUGGCCCACAGCAUUCACGUUGUGAAUAAUACUUCUUUUUGUAUUCAAUCCCACGUUGCUAUCAAUCCAGGAGUCACAUCCAACCAUACCGAUGAUUCUCAUCGAUAAUCAUCUUAUUGACAUCAUUAUCAGUCUAAUAUCCACCUGUUGAUAUCGAGCCGGGAAAACCUAUAGUUCCAUAUAUCCUAGGAGUCAAUCGAUGUAACUUAGCAGCCUUUGCAAUCCUCGAAUGAGAUUUGAUGGUUUGAACAUUAGCUGUCGAGAUGCGAUUAGCUGCUUGUGAGAAGAAAUGGAAUGCACUCUUAGGUGUUAACUACGCAGCUGCAGCUCUUCGAGGCCCCCCUUGGCUCUUCCCCAAAUAUCCUUUGCUUGGUCAAACUAAAGUUUCUUUUCAAUGAUUAUAGCAGAAAGAACGUGCGACGUAUAAGAUAAUCAUCUCUUGACUUACUAGUUACAAGCGUCUUCUAGGGUUUAUUUGAAAGAUAACAAAAGGCACCCUUAAAUUGUAACAUGUCGCUUAGACUCGAGGAUGAUAAAUAUCUCGAUGAUGCCUUUGUCACUUGAUAAUCUAAUAGCACAUAAAUACGCAAGUAAAAUCAUGUAUAGGGAUUUUAAAUAUAAAGGAUCGUCCAUUGCAAUAAACGACGCUCAAAUAUAUUAUCAGGGCUCUAUACAAUCAUUUCUGGCGGUGCAGUAUCCUAGAGCAAAAAUACUAAUGAUUCAUCUACUUUAUUUUUCUACAUGAGGAUCAGCUAUGUCCUUGUUUCGUAUGAAUCACCCUCCUAUUUGAAUUCAAUGCCUCUAUACACAUAGAAGAAACCCUAAAAUGUGAAAAUAUACAUUCAUGUAUAUGACCCUAAUUGUAAUAUGCUUCUAUUGGCCUCGCCUGAAAUUGGAAGCUCCUCUUAUACCCUCUUCCUCCUAGAGGAAUUUCUCUGGGGGCCACUCACUUAGUCUCUACACAUGCACCAAUCCAUACCUUCACAGUUUUGUCAAACUGUAGCACCAUCUUGUUAAUGUGGCGAAGAAACUUUCACCUUAACAUAGCUAUGGUGAAAUGCCCACCAUCAAAUUCAAGGUAUACGCUGGAUUAAUUAGGCAUACCAAUUCAGUCCUGGCAUGUGGAACUGUGGUCGGAAACCGCCGUCACCGAGAGGCCCAUAUGCCGUUUGCUGGUGCAGCGGUGGGGUUUGAGGAAUCUGGCCGAGCAGAGACGCGAUGGAACUAGUCCCUCCGUUGGUAUUCCUCUCGACGCUCCCCGGAUCGUUCCUGUCCGCACUGAACUGUCUCUUGACCGACGAAGGGUCGCUUGUCUCGGCGGCGACGUCCUUGUCGUUCCAGUAGAGUGAGUGAAGAGUCCGCUUCAGGGGAAGAGGGCUCGAAAUGUUGGGCGCUUGGACCAUGGCCAAUUCUGGCUUUAAGCCCGAGGAUGAUGCAAGGUGAGACAUCACGUUGCCGGGGAUGCAGCCGCCGCCGUUAGCCCCCAUCAUCCCUUCGAAAAGGUUCUGCUCGUGCUCGAACAAUACCCCAUAACUCGUCGUGGACGGCUUAGAGAGGUGUAGCUUCAUGCCGUGAGGGUUCAUCGUCAACGAAGGAGGGAUGGAUUCGAGCAUGUCGUCCAUCGAGUCGUCCCUCUCGUGGUCCAUCGGCCGGUGCACGUUGCUCUUCUUGUAGAUUCGGCAUAACACCCAGUCAUCCAGCUACGGAAAACCAAAUUAAAUUUCGACACGCUCUCGUUCAGUCGCACGCUCCUUAAAUCUCACAAUCAAACCAACCAAAGCAAACGAAACGAAGCAGAUAGGCUCGAUCAUUACCCUCAGGGAAUUUUUCUUGUUGCCCACGUCACAUCCCGGCGGUCUGUUGCUGACUUUGUUCUCGAUGAGACGGUACUCGUGCAUGAUCCAGUUCGUCUUGACGCCCUUCGGGGGUUUCCCACCGUAGAAGACGAGGGCCUUCUUCACGCCGACCUUCUGAUGCCCGACCGCAGACAGCACCGGUUUAUCGGUCCCCGUGGCCUUCCAGUACCCGGACGUCGCCGCCCUGUUCGGCCUCGCCCCGUUCGGGUACUUCCGGUCCCUCGGGGUGAAGAAGUACCAUUCUUGCUCGCCAUACGUCGCCUUCGCUGAGAAAUGAAGAAAAAGCGAAAGAAGAAUAAAAAAGAAAAGAAGAAUAAACCCAAGUGAGCGACGAUGAUCUUUUCCUCUGCUCCGUAUAAACUGCAAACAUCUUCUGUUCCUUUCUCGUACGUAGAAAGGGGGCUAAAAGAAUUCACGAGGCUCAGACUCGAUCACCACCGACGGUAUAUCUCGUCGACAUGUAGUCUCUCACGAACAACUGCACUGUCGACCCGAAAGACUGUAUCGAACAGCCUCCUCGUUUAUGACGAGAAGCCCGUGCUCGGGUCCAUCGAAAAUAUCUUCAUAGAUUUAAUGUCUCGACACCGAACGAUUCGACAGUAGAAAAGGAAAGGAAAGGAAAAGCAAAAGAAAAGAAAGAAAAGGAUAUGCUCCCCUCACUGGGUAUUUUACCUGGAAGCUCCCAGGGAUCGAACUUGUAGAUAUCGACCUCGGCGAUGACGGAAACGGGGAGCGGCGACGAGGCCGCCUUCUUCUUGAGGUAGUGGACGACGAGCUCCUCGUCGGUCGGGUGGAACCGGAACCCCGGCGGCAGGUGGGGCUGCGCCGCCGACCCCGCCGAUGAGUCCGUGCUCUCCAUGAACGAACCCCCCGAUAAAGCCCCCUCCCCCCGCUGCUACGAACUCCGAUCACCCAAAACCCACUCAGAAUUCACGAAGCGAAUGAUCAACGAGAGAACACACGAGAGAGAGAGAGAGAGAGAGAGAGAGAGGAAAUGAGAAUGUGAGCGUGAAGGUCUUUGGCUCGGCUCGUCGAAUAAAUGGGAGGUGAGGAGGAUGGCGUGGGGAGGCGCUCGAGCCGAAGGGCGCUGGGGCGGGCUGCGAUCCCGUACGCCCCCGCCUACGUGGAGCCCGCUUUGAGGAGGCCAAUGGGUGCCCGACACGCCGACACGCCCGCUAGAUGGUCGGUCAAUUCCGCGCGCGGAUUUUACGGAAAUGGCCCUGCAGCGGCUUUUGCCCAAACCAUGCAGCGGCCGACGUGGACGUGGGGCGGCCGGAUCAGUGAAACCGAGGCCGCGCGGGUCGCUGACGUCAACCGGGGGGGCGAGGGCCUCCGGAGGGUCGACACGUGUCUCGGGAACGGGCGCCAGGGGUCGACACGUGUGGGGGGGCGAGGGGGGGUGGGGCCCGCGCGGGGACCAGCGCCCCCGCCCCCGCACAAGGCAACAAGACCAGCAGGAUAAUAAAGCGGGGCGGGCGGGGGGGAGGGGUGGGGUGGGGCCCGCCGAUGUCAUGCCUUUGGUGUGCAAAAAGGAAAAGCACCCAAAAUGUCAAAGGCGGUAAGCAUGUGUUAACGGCUAAUAUCGAUUGGCCGCUUUUCAGUUUCUUUGCCCCUCGGUGUCGCUAAUUUUCUCCUCCGAGAAUAAUGACAUUAUUUUUCUGUCGAGUUCUUACAUGCUUACGUAUAUUUAAUUCGCACAUAUUAUAUGCAUAUCCAUAUGUAAAAUGACCACUUGCGGCUCCAAAAUCAAGCGUGACUACACCUUUUUGCAUAUCUAAUAAAUAUAUAUCGCCCUUUCAUUAUUAGGUUCUUGACUAAGACAAAGAUGAGCAUAUGGGCUCGUGAUUUUUUUUGAGGAAUCUGUCGUUUAGCUCAAAAUUAUAUUCAGCACUUGUGUUGAUUUAUGAUUUGCCCGAUUUUAUAUUCAAUGGAGUUGACGACUGAUGAUGGGAUGAUGAUGGCUAGAAUUAAAGUUAUUGAAUGACGAAGAAAUUAGGAUUUCCAUUUGUUUCUUUUUUCCUCUUUAGUCUUACGAAAAAAGGAAUGGUAAAGGUCAACAAAAACUUUAAAAUAUAUUUAUCCUAACAAAUUUGCUAAGACACUAAAAAUCCCAAACUUAUAUCAAUGUAACACAUUUACCCGUCAUCAAACUUAUAAAACUGUUAAGAAUUACCUACAUGAAUGCUUAAAAGUAAACAAUAUUGAUAUGGCGCUCACGUGGCUAAAAAAUCAGUUAAUAGAACUUUGAUGGAGAAUAAAUAUGACAAAUGUGUAAAAACUUUGGGAUUUUUUAUGUCAUAAGAAAAAGUUUAAGGUAAAUGUGUCACAAUGAGUAUAGUUUAGAGUUGUUAAUGUCAAAAAAAAAUUCUGGGUAUAUGUAACACGGUGGAUAUAGUUUAGAUUUUCUGUAACUUUUUCCGAAAAGAAAUAGAGUAAUAUUGCCUAGUUUCUAGAGAACCAGUCUUCCAAGUACAUGCGUAUUUUCUCAUAACGCAAUAAUUUUGAGCUCUAAGAUAGGAAUGUCAGACAACUCAUCUAAAAAAAAAUUCUUAUGCGUCACUUCUCUUUCAGGGUACAUAUUCUGUAGCAAAUCGAACCAUAUUUUUUAUCCUUUACCCGAAACUCCAAUUGAUUCAAAUGUUCUUGUUUCAUGUUUCGUGAGAAUUUUUCCCCACCUUUUGUAAACAGAGUUUUAAAACUUUUUUGGGACAAUUCUAAAUGACCGCCACACACGCACACGCAUAUAUAUUUUGUGGACAUAAAAUGUCAUCCUCGGAAAAUAUUUACAAAAACAUUUAAAAAAAAAUAUGGCAUGUUUAUUCGAUAUUUCGAUUCAGAUAACAUCCACAAACCUACACAAUCCACCCUACUUUGGUAGGCUUAGUAGCCUGGGAAGUUACUUUCAUUAGGAGCUGAUAUGAUUCGAACACAAGACAUGCCGCAUUUAAAUCGGGAUUUGAUCACUCAACUAGACCUUUUUUAGAUUAUUAAGUACGCACUCCUCAACAAUUUUGCUCGCGUAAAACAUGGAAUGGGUGGAAAUCCAUCCUCAUAAGUGUUUACAUACCACUAAUAUGGUACCUAGCAUGGAUGACUGUGUCUUGCAUCGUUUUCAUUUGCUUUGUUCAUAACCAUAAUGAUAAAUAUGUUUACACAUAUACAUACCCAUAAUGCUCUCUCUUUAAAAAGAGCAGAAGAAAAAGUCACUUUAAAACCCUAGAAACAUCGAUAUGGCAAAGGAAAGGAAGGGUGCAUGCAUUUGACAUCGAAAGUCGAAUACGUUGAAUUCUCACGUGCCUGGUCGAGAAAUUCUCAUUUGGGUGGAUUCAUGAUUUAAUAAACGUUGAAAUUCCCUCUCGGAGAGUGAAUGGAGAAUGAUAUUACUCCAAGUUGCCCUCUUAAUUAAUUGUCUAAUCACCUAAUUAACGUUGUGGACCAAAAAGGAUUAACCUACAACCUAAUCAUGGUUAAGAAAAAGGUGAUUCUCAUCUUCAUUAUUCCAAUCUAGAUCAUAGUGGUACUUGGUGAGAUAGAGUCAUCUCAUCAUCCCAUUUCUGAAAAAUUUAAAUCUCUUUUUUGAAUCGACUUAACGUCACGUGUCUCAUGGGAGAGAUAUGACAUUUAGAAGACCAGAUAAUAUUUUACUUUUUUUGAAAGAAAGAAGAUAUUCUAAAUUUUUUUUGAAGUGAAUAAAGUUCUUUGACCAUCAUACAGAACAUUAAGGAGAAAAUUACCAAAAAAGUCAUAAAUCUAUUGUCGAAUGUCAAUUUAGUCAUAAAUUUUUCAAUUUAAUCAAUUUAAUUUAAGAACUUUUGACGAUUUUUCAAUACAGCAAUUUUGGUCAAUAUUGUUAGGGAAUUGCUAAGCAACAAUCCAAUUGACGUUGGCACUAACAUAGACAAUUUUUGCAAUUUCUUUAACAUUUUCUAAUUUGUUCCCUUUCUUUUCUUUCAUUUUUUUUCUUCUUUUCCUAUUUCCCUCCACCAAUUGCUAGGGUCUCGAUGAUGGCCGGUGGAGAUUACCAGGCGACAGUUGACGAGGGCUUGGGAAUAAAGCUACAAGUUCACAUCUUCUAAUUUAUGUACAAGUUAAGCGACUCGACUUGUGAAGUUAAGAUAACAUAAACAGUUAUUGAGGAUUGCAAACUUUAAAAAGGCCUAUGGAAUGAGCAUGGUACGAUUUUAGAAGAAACUAAAACCUAAAUCAAACCCUCGAUAUAUAUAGAAUAUAUAUUUACUCAUUGAACUCAAUUCCAAAUUGAAUAUUCGAGAUUGUAUUCACAGCAUCAUCAAUAUAAUCAUAUAUCGAAUUGAUGCAUUCAUUAUAUGCAAUUAAAUUUCUAUUCAUUUCACGGGACUUUUCACUGAUUACGUUCAAAUUUAUCGCUCCACUUCGAUCUGUAUAAUUACUUCCGUAAAAACUCUAUAAAGUGAUGUCCAAAUCAACGAUUUCGAAUCAAACCAAGACAAUGAUGAAAAUCCUCCUUUUACCGUUUAUGCUCCUAUUACCCGCCCUACUCAUUGGAUCGUGACAAGGGAGAAUCUUUUCCCGUCCUCAACACGUGUUGCGAUGCCAUAAGAAGACGAGUGAUAUUCGCCCCGCAAGAAAGAGCAAUAAAAUGUGCAAUAUAAGGAUCAUGGACCAAAAUCAAAUUAUUGAAAGUUUAGGAAUCGAGCUUAAAAGAUUAAUAAAGUUGAUGAUUCAAUUGUCAGUUGACGCGGUGGAAACAAUUGAUGAUACGAAUUCUAGAAAAUAAUAAACUCAUAAACAUGAGUCGCAACUUGCAAGCACAUAAACUUGCACAAUAAUAAAGAAAACUCUCUCAAACUCGUUAAUUUAUCAAAAGAGGGAAAAUUUGUCCAAAAAAUCCUAAACCUAUUAUAUAUCGAUCAAUUCAAUCAUAAACCUUUCAAUUGUGUUAAUUUAACUCUAAACCUUUUAACAAUUUGUCAAUUCAGUCAUUUCAAUCAAUUUUGAUCAGAAAUUGCUAAUGUGAUAAUCUGGUCAGUGUUGGCUGGCUUACAUGGCAUGGCCAAUACUAACAUAGAUAAAUUUAAAUUUCUUUUAUGAUUUUUUAAAAUUAUAUUUUGAUUCUCCUUUCCUUUUUCUUUUUUUGAACGUUGGUCUAGCAAGGGUUUUUUUUUUUUGGCCGAAAGCUAGCAAGGGUUAGCUAGUGACUGUCCUAGCCUAGAGUUGCAAAUUGGAGAAAGAAAGAAAAUAAAAUAAAAUAAAAAUUUUAAAAUUUUAAAAUAAUUUAAAAUUAUUCACAUGAACGCCAAUUAUACCAUGUAGACAACCAAUGCUGACUAAACUAUCACGUCGAUGAUUUCUAACAAAAAUUAGCCGAAAUGACUAAAUUAAUAAAUUGUAAAAAAAGGUUAGGACUACAUUGACAAAUUAUUAAAAGAUGUAGGAUUAAAUUGAUAUAAUUAAAAUGUUUAUGACUAAAUUAGCAAGUUAUCAAAAGAUUUAGAACUAAAGCUACGUUUGGUCAUCGAAAUUUGUAACCAUGGUAGGAUCCGAUAAGGCAGGAAUGAAAUAUAGGGAUUUUGCUAUAUCCUAUCCAUUAUUUAGUGAUUUCAAUAAUAGUGUCGAAUUUAUUCAUACAUAUCAUGUACAUUAUUUUGUAUAAAAGGCAUAUUAGUAUAAAUAAGCCAAAAAUUUUACAAAUGAAGAUGAUAGAAAUCUCUCACGACACUCUUACCUACUUUAAUUUAAUUUUAUUUUAUAUUUAAUUUUCCUCUCUUUUUUAAUCAAUUUAUUUGUUAUUCCUUUCUUCCCAUUCUAUCAUUCUCUAAUAAAUUUUAAUUAAAUAGUGAAUUGUACUAAUAUACCUAAAAUACUAAAAUGCGUAUUAAAUAUACCUAAAAUAUGUAUUUAUAUAUUAAUUUUAUAUUAUAAAAUAGAAUUUAAUUCAAAUAUAUAAAUAAAAAUAAGAUUAAAAUAAAAUAAAUAAAUUGUCAUUUUUUGUUAUUUUGAAUUUCUUAUAUUAGAAUUCAAAUAUUAUUUAUAUUUAAAUAUAAUAUUAACUUUGUUCAUUUAAGAAGUUUAUUAUUUGAGAAAAAUAACUUUCCUAUCAUGGAUGUUAAAAAUCACAUUCACCUUUAUUUCACAUCUUUCAUGGGAUAAUUUUAUCUUGUCCAUAUGAACCUUAUAUAUGACUUUAUCUUAUCAUGAGUAAGCACCAAACACAAGAUAAGAUAAAUUUUAUCCUAUCUCGAGUUUUAUCCUAACUGUUAAACGCAGUCUAAAUCAACACAAUUGAAAGGUUUAAAACUAACAACAAAUCUAGAUUUUUUUGGACAAUUAUUCCAAUCGAAAGAGGUAAGUUCUUUCUUUACAUAAGAGAAUAAUACGAAUUUAUACAACCUAAUGUCCUAAAGAAAUCCCAAUAAACCAUAACUAGAAACAUAUUACAAAGAGUGAAUAAGAAAAAAUUAUUAGAUAUAAAUUCAAAUCAGAUAAGUAAUAAAACUAAACAAAUUCACCUAAGAUUCUAGAUGCAAUCUAACAAUCAAAUAUUUAUCUAAAUAAAAGAAAUUAAAAUUAGAAAUUAGUUGGCCCCCAUCGCUAAAACCUCAAAAUUUAGUAUUGUGGAUGAUUUUUUAUUUUUACAAUAUGGAAAAAAAAACUAUGCUUAAAUUAAUGAAAAUGACUCUUUUUAAUAAAUUAAUUAUUUUUUUCAAAAUAUGACCUAAGUCCUAAGAUUCGAGCCCAAGUUUGCUAAAAUGGGGCUAAGCACCCUCACACCUAGGGCUAGAACCCUAGCACUUGCUCAAAGGACAUCUGAGGUCAAGCCUAGGUCCUCCGCUCCCAUGACUAGGAUCCGGUGGCUAGACCAAGAUACCUUGCUACCAUGCUUGAGUCAUUGGUGCUGAUGUCUGGGUCCUUGAGGCCAAGAACGGGCACUAACUCCCAUGCUUGGGUUUAUUGCAGCCUAGAUUGAACCCCUUGAGAUCGAGCUCAAGACCCCCAGCCUAGGUCCAAGAUAGCACCCAUGCCCAAGUCCUCGACAGCUUAGCACUCCUCAUGAACAUGCCCUGGUCUCUAGUGGCCAUGGCGGAGUCUUUCGAGGACGGGUUGGUGUCCCUUGAGCUUGUGCUCAGGCCUAGGUCCUUGGCUCUGGAACUUGAGACUUUAAGAUCAUACUCAAAAACUUUUUUCUCAAAUGCAUAUUUCACAGGUUUCUAACCUAAUAUUAGGAAAAGAAGAAGAAGAGGAAGAGAAGGCUUCCACAUUAUUUGCAAAAUACAAUAAAGGAAAAAUUAGGAAAAUGAAGUCCUUGAAAGUAAUUCCACCAAAAAAAGACAAAAGUGCUUGAGAAUAAGAGUAUUCUCGGGAGACGAAUGGAGUCAAAAAUCGAAGUUGCAUCGAAAUGACUUUUGCACCACGAUCCCAGCAAAGGAUAAUGCGUCCAGGAAAGACAAGGAGGUGGGCUUGGUGCGCAAAAAAUCUAGAGAUGGAGGGGGCGGGGGGAGGAAGGGAACAAUGCGGGAGCGGGUCCCGCUGCUGGCUACGGGAAGGAAAGACCGGGCGGGCCCCACCGGGUUGUCAUAUCUUGUAGUCCAUUUCUUAUCGGCGGGCCCCACCUUACCCCACCAUCUCUCCCCUCUCGCUCUCGUACUAUAGGGAUGGGGGGGGGGGGGGGGGGUGGUAAUGAUGCAAUUUAACAAAAUCAAACACUCUCUAAUGGCGCACCUAACCUUUGCGUCUCCUCGCUGCGCCUCUUUAAUUAAAUCGCAACAACCGCAUUCGACGUCGACCCGUCGGGGGGCGGGUGGUGGGGAUCGCUUCACGGGUUUGUCCGUGACGCACCCACGACGCGACCGUGUUCUCCAUUUUGUACAUUCCUCCUUGCCCCAAACCCUAGACACUCCCCCACUUUGUUUGGCUAGCCGUUCCGCUCCAAGUCGCUAAUUGGCCCGGAGGUGCCCUUCCCUUCAGUCUGUAGAGGUUCUAACUCCUUGUGCUCGAUCGCUGAGUAUGAAUCCAAGGGCCUCCCAGCUAGCUUUUCCUUUUCGAUGUGACGUUAUAACACCGCCUAUGCAUAAAUAAUUAGUUAUAUCAUAAUUCGGGCCGACUUGUUUAAUAGUAUAUCCUGAAUUCGGCAUUACACGAACAAGGCUUGUGAACACUAAUUGACACUCAUAUCUUAAGCCCCUCUUUGUCACAAAGAUGUCACGAUUUGUUAAGACUAUUUAUAUUGGAUAUCAAUUUCCAUCCAUGUGUGACAAAUCUUUACUCAUCUAACAAAAAUGAGAUGUUAUUGGAGAGUGGUAUUGUAAAAAGUUCAUAUCGUACCAAAGUCAAGUAAAUUUGUGUAUGCUAAUGCGCAUGUAGACAGAGGGCAAAUUUCCCUAAAUCUAGGAGCACGUCAAUCGAUUUGGGGUCACUAUGUCUCAUUCUGUGUUUUUUUUUUUCUCUAGCAAUGGAAGAUCCCUAUCCUUCAUUCUAAUUCUUUAUAUACUCCGUCCGACACGGUGAUUCCGCCAAAAGCUCCUCCAUUAUCGCCAGCAUCGAUCUCCAACUUUCACUGUUCGAAACUCCUAACCCUAAAACCUUUCCACUUCCAAAUGGCAAAGCCGGGGGUCCCGAAGGGGUCAAGUCUUUCCCAAUAUCCUCCAACGUGGUUGGCAUGGUACGUGGGCAUCGCUUAGAGGGAUCAAAGGGCGACCCAAUCCCGAUGAUGUCGUCGCGAAUUGCCAACGCACGAAAACAUGUCUGCCGCAUCCUCAAGCCGUGCGCGAUAAUACCGCAGGUCGGAUAAUGCCCUUUUACGUUCGAUGCCGGUCUUUCUCGGGGCGUUAUUGCGCUAAACAUGCAAAUGAGAAAAGACAAGUAUGUCGCUGCCCUAAAGAAUUAAAGUUAGCGAUUAGAAAAAUGCCUCCCACCCAUCGGUACUACACAGGCCCCAUGCAAGAUCUCAUGCUGUGCCCUACGCGAUCUUCUUCGCGUCUUUCCGAUUCUGUGGAUCCCGCGCGACAUCCCCGCCUUCAUUUUAGUAAUUGUAGGGGAUUAUGCACAUGGAUGGACGUUCUUCGAACGGCAAAGUUGCUGGACUUAUUCGAAGUUUAUCUAUAUCCUCUCCCUUGAUAUUUGUAUGUAUGUAUGUAUGGAGAAACAAUUCUAAAACAGCUGGUCUGUUGUCGCUAAAUCCAAAUGACAAGUUGUUUAUGUAUUUAGACUAUUGAUUGAUAACAUUGCAAUUUGAAGCUCACGUUUUAAUGCUUGAAUUGUUAAGGAGAGACGCGCUUUGUAUUUUUAUAUCUUUUCUAGUUGUCUGAUUGGAUGUAUAAUUGUACGGCAAUCAAUUCAUUUUAUCUGCCCCAAAAUCUUUUGUGAGACUAAUAACAGUCUUGUAGAGACAGGUCACUGGCCUCAUCGAUGACUUUUUGUUGGAGCGCGCGAUAGGAUGUGGAACAUUUGACUUUCCCACACAUAUCUUCGACUGUUAUACGGGACAAGCUUACUCGGCCAUCAUUUGUCCUCUUGGUUGCCCACAUUUGAACAUUAUAAAAAUUAAUGCAAAAAGACAAAAAGACCCUCCUAAGCCUCGAGAAAAUUACUAAAAAAAUCCAAGACCUAUUGCAUGAAUGUCAAUUUAGUUAUAAACCUUUCAAUUUAGCCAAUAUAUUCCUAAAUAUGUUAAUAAUUUAUUAAUAUAAGAUUUUUGGCCAAUUUUAACUAACAAUCACUAAUGUAGACAUCAGUUGUCGUGCGGGACACAACCAACGCUGACGAGAACAAUUUUUGCAAUUUUUUGAAAUUUUAUUAUUUUAUUAUUAUUUUUCUUUCUUUCUCUUUUCUUGUUUUUCCUUCUUUCUUUGUUCAUCGAUGGCUAGCAACUUGCCAUAGGCAAGGGUGGGCCAACGAGGCUCAAAUCUUGUCAAGCAGGCAAAGCCUCGCUAGUCUUGCCAAAUUCGGUGAGGGUUGACCUCGCCGACCCUGACCCUUGCCUAUGGCUGCUAGCUAGCCAUAGUGACCAACGAAGGAAGAAUGAAAAAAGAUAAGAUAAGGUAAGAUAAAAAAAAGUGGAAAAUUAUAUAAAAGUUCUAUAAAUAAAAAAAAUUGUAAAAAAUUAUCCAUAUCAAUAUCAUCAUUGCCAUACUGGUAUCCACGUCAAUGAUUGUCAGCCGAAAAGAUUACAUUGGCAUAUCGUUAAAGAUUAAAUUUGCCAUAAUGAAAUGUUUAUAAUUGAAUUGGUAUUUGCAUAAUAUAUGUAUUUUUUUUUUAAUAAUUAUUCCCGUAAACCUCCCUCUCUCUCACUCCCUCCCCCCACGCGCUGGCGUACCAACUGAGGAAGGAGAUACGAGAGAAUGGGCGGGAGAGGGAAGUUGAUUGGGAUUUUAUGUAGCAUGAAUUAAUUUUUUUCUCAUGACCAUCAACCAGAGUCGAAUAGUCGACACAUAACGCAGCCUCAUCAAUGAACGAUUCGACGUUUCGUUACAAGAUCAAUCACAGGCAUGUAAGAGAAGGAAUCUACUUAUAUAUGUUUAUACGUGCAGUUUCCCAUAUGGCUAUAUUUUCCUCCAACCACGUCACUAGUUGGUGACUAAGCAAUUUAUGAACCUUGAUACAUACAAAAUUAAUUAAAUCAAAAUUAAAAGUGAAUGAUGUUCAUGUUUAUAACUCACUAAUAAUCGUACGAAGGGUCAAAUUGAGGAAACCAUAUGGUCCUUCCCGAUUGGGCCUUGUAGUCUCACCAAGUCUAUAACCGGUAUGAUGCUGGACAACUUUUGGGCAUCCAUCUCCCUUCAUAGAAAACGUCAUCUUCUGUCGUACAAAGAUAUGAAUGCAUAGGUCGGACUGAGAUAAAAACGAACAUGUUGAGCGGCCAUCUCUUCUGGCCGUCCAUGUGAGUUGCAUGCUAAAUUAAGUCAAAUGGGAGAUGCGAAACCUACGUCGUAUAAAAUAAGGUACCGGUUGGAUUUCAUACCCUCAUGGUAAGCCUAACUUGAUCUUUAUCGCCCCAUCUCUCGUCCAAGAUAAAAGCGCAAAGAAAGCGUGCAUGUGCGAGGUCAUCCUAUGCUUCUUGCGACAUCUCGUGAUCUCUAAAUGCUAAAGCUACAAGAACGACUUGGUAAAUCAUUCUCAGAAAAUCUAAGCAACCCGUUUUCUGGAGCGGCCCCUCUUGGAUGGUUAUGAUAUUGAUUACUGAGAGCAAGUUAUGUCAUCACCAUCGAAAUUAGGGUUUCCCUUGUCGAAUAGUUUCUAUGGACUCUGUUGUUCUCGUCCGUUCUUUUCCCGAAGUAUCGGUGGUCCUUAAUCGUUCCCAGUAAAUCCUCCUUUCUUCUCAGCACCGCGAGCAAACUAAGAGCUUUUUGAAAUUUAGCAAGCUUUAUUUAGUGUGCAUAUUCCACCUUAAACCACGCUUCAAGUGCCAUCUGGCUUUUGAAGCAUAGCUGAGAAAGCUAGUGGGUUGCUACUUAUAGACAUGCUUAUCCCAAGAUUAGAAGUCAUGAAUCAGCACUUGUUUUUGCAGAAUAUUUAGAUGCACAUCGAUCGACGUCCGCUGGAUGUGGGGUGGUCACGAAAGCAAUCUUUUGACGAGCACGUUGAUAUAGUUAGGUAGCAUUUCUUCAAUAUGUUGUUUUCUGUAGUUAGGGAUUAUGUCGUUCAUGCAAUGUUUCGGGCAAAUCCGAUUCUCUCUUUCUCCUACCUCGUGAAUUUCUUGAAGCUAGAAACAAGGUUGAGACAAAAGCCCUAGCUUUCUGCCACGAGGCCGGCCUAAUUUCCUCGCCCCCGUAACAGAUUCCGGCCAAGUCCUAAUCGCAUGACAGAGACUUUGGUUUAGUCAGUUAGCAUAAAAUAUCAUUUGUGUUUUUUUCCCUUCAGCUGGAUACGGAAUCAUCAGCUUUUCCUGCACUUCACCUAAUUCGUCGACCCGAAAUAAUCACGCCCUUUGAAAAUGCACAGCGCAACACGUGCAGAAACCCUGACCUGGCAACCCUAUUUUCUUCUUUUUGGCUUAGACCAAUUGCUCUGAUAUCCAUCACUUUCGAUCCAUCAGCAGCACAAUGUCAAACCAUUCCAUUACCAUUGCGUUCACAAGGUGGACAUUGUCUGCAUGAUAUGAAAGGAUCUUGUAUGAUGUGUUUGCCUGUUCUUUGAAAGUGAAGCUCUUUGCGUUCACACGAUCCUUUUCCCCGGAUUAAAUUACUUGCGGCGACCAUAUCUUUUAGAUUCAAAAGGGAAACAAACACAGGCUUAUGUAAUUCGGUCGACGUUCCUUUGACAAACUUAGGAAAUAUGAUUUCACACGAAAAGCUCUUUCAACGUAGAUAUAAUAAGAGUAAAUAAAAUCCUGACGUCUUGUGACUCCAACAAUGAAGUGUGUUUUUACAAGGAGUGUAAAUUUAGUGUUGAUAUCGUUAAAAGUAUUUAUCAUGCGCAUUAACUAACCUGAAAAUAUAUAUGGUCGAAGUGAUGCAUCUAUAUAUGGAUCCACUGGGGUGAUAUAUCGAGAGGAAAAUUUAAUUCCAAUAUGGAAGAUUUCCUUAUCCUCAAGACCUUUGUGAAGCACAAUUAACUAUAUUUAAAAAAACUUAUAAUCCCAAGUCAACUUUUUGUCGUAAUUCAAGAGAUCGAAAACGAGAAAAUAAAACCUAUAAUAGUUAAUUUUCAUACUUCGUAAAAAGAAAAUAUUACUAGAUCAAGUGAAUGGUAUAUAAGAACUGUUUUUGGCCAAGUCUCUAUAAACUUAUCGAAGGAGAGAAAUUCAUAACUUUUCAGGUGUUAUAGAGUCCGAAGCAUCGAUGUCAAUGGUCAAGUUAUGGAUAAUAUAGUUGAUGUCAAUUUUCUUUUCCUCAAGACUAUCCCCACGAGCAUGCACUCCUUCUUUUGCUUGAUCAGCGAUCAUUGCCUUGAAUAGGAAGUUACACAAUUUUUGCACGUUGUGCUCGAGAUUAAAAGCCACAGUUUCACAUUUAUACGCCAUACCAAAAUACGUAUACGAAUUUAGAGUUAACACAAAUACACGUAAGUAUGGUUUAUUCACGAGUUAGGUAUGUACCGAUAUGCCGAAUAAAAGGGGUUGCGUGAAUCCGAUUGUUUGUGAUCGAGCUGAUAUCGAAUUUGAGAAAAAACUCAAGUCUGGAAUUUUGUUUGGGAGAUUCAGCGUCAUUACUGGGGACUAGGGUUUUUAGAGUGCUUUCAUACAUGUAUUUCUUUUUCUUUUUCUUUUUCUUUUUUUGGUUGAAUUCAUACAUGUAUUUUUUUUCCUUUUAAUUUUGCUUGUUCUGUCGUUCAUACCUAACGAAGUAAUUGACGGCUGACUGUCCAAGGUAUCUGCCUUACCUCUACCCAGUUGCUUGAUCUUGAAUUUAUUUCAUACCUGCGGGUAAAGAAAAGGGGAUUUUGCACCUCUGAAAUACACUUAGCAUUGAUCUGGCUACAUUUUCCAUAAUAUCACACAUAUAAUAAGUUUUCAUUAUAGGAAUAAUACCCAUUAACGAUUUUCAUAUAUGAUUAAGGUGCGGACCUUUUCUAUGAAGAUCAAUCAAUUGGACAUUUAAUGUCUAUAAGUAAGGUCCUUCAUCAUAUGAACAAAGUAAUUGACCGACGACUGUCCAAGGUUCUGCCCCAGCUCUUGCUCCAUGCUUAACAGCGAAAUUAUAUCUCAGGGUCAAGAAGAAAGGAAGCUUGUAUAUAUGAAAUACACUUAGCAUUAAUCAACAAUCUACAAUCACGAAAUAUGAAGGUCUCGAGUGUGUAACUUGAAAUCCCGUAUGUAAAAUAUGAGAUGUUGACAUAUAUUAUUAUGCAAUAGGUCAUAUUAUCUAACAACCAUGUUUUUGAUUAGUAGGUUAUAAGUUUUGAAUAUCAUCCGCAUGCAAAAUUAAUUAGAAUCAAAAGUGAGCAAUGUCUAUAUUUGUCACCCAUCAAUCAAAUGUAACGACAGAUGAAAUUCCUCUAACUAGGGAUGGAGGAAAGCUUCACCCCUUACGUGACAUAGACAACAAAGCUAUGAGUCAUUGUGUGACUGCGUGAUAUGUGUAUCACUGGUGUUUUGGUUUUGUCUAUCAUCCAAAAGGUCUUUCUGACUAAGAACUAUUAUUUCUUGCUAUUUCACCUAUUCUUUUAAUAUAAAUUUGGCAUCUUUUUGGACAAAAUAUCUUUUGAACCUUAAACAUUUUCUUCCUCCAUGAAACUUCGGGAAGAAAACAAUAGAUUUCAUUCCAGUGGAGCUGGAGCUUUCACCUUUUGAUAAGCUUAGUGGGGAGGCUUGCAUGGGCAUACGGAUCUUUCGAGACUACCAAUGUUAAUCAAGUCAAGAGGGCCCAUUAAGACUUAGACUUGCACAAACGCUUAUCUCUUAUUUGCGGAGUUCCUCCAGGAGGGUCCUCCAAUUCAAUAAAAUAGACAACUACCGAUUGAAUAUUCUUCUCCCGCGUGACAUCUGCACAUGUUUCCUUCUCCACAAAGGACAGCGAUUCGAGAAGCAAAACAUGACAUCUGGGCGGCCGACCGUAUGGUGGAAGCUUGCGCACUUACCUUAAUUCACAGCGAUUCGCCCUUUCUCCGCGAUUGGACUCGACGAAAGAAUGGGUCUCUCGCUCGGCCAACAGAAGCAUUAAAGAGUAGACCAAGGUUUUGUUUCGCAAACCAUGCUUAGAUUCGGCUAAGAUUUGAUCCUUAGUUGUCAAUGACAUGGACACUACGGAAGUACGUACAUUGACGCGUAGUUCCAAGAGGUUGACCCUUUUGUCUUUAUCGCCAAGGCGUUCAAAGGAGGAUCUUCAGGAAGCAGCCUCGGAUGACGUGCCACCAUACUUUUUUCUCUCGACUCUUUGUUAACGUGACAUUUUAGAUUAACUCAUCAAGAUCUUGUCCACUUUGAUCCGAGCCUCGUAGUUUUGUUCUUUAGCGUAUAAGCGAAUUUCUUAUCAAGAGGUCACCUAUUCUAAGGGUGUUCUCACUUGAACAAGCUUAAAUUUAAAGUUUCAAACCUAAGCACUGUGGCAAUGUUAAAAGGCAUCUCCGUGAGUCAAUUUCAUUUUUCACAUAUAAAUCUUAAAUUACACUUCUCUUUUUCAGUGCACAAUUUAAUUCAUUUCUGCCUACUUCGUCAUCUUAAAAGCAUGUUAGAAACCGCUCAUUGUUUAGGUCCUCUAAGCUUGACAACCAUUCCCAGUCCUCGUCAUAAUAAAUCUUUACAGUUAAACAACACGGCGUCACCACAUGAGCAUAAAACCUUGGUGCUUUGGCUACAAGCUGACACGAGACGUGCCGGCAUGGCAUCGUCUGUCAGGUCGAUGCGUUAGUGGCUAGACGAUGCACGAUAGAAAAAUCUCUUAAAACUGAUCCUGGUACGUGCGAGCCCCGAGCCCUUGAAUUUGGCAGGUCCGACGUGGAAUCCACCCGAUCCAGGGGCUUGGCACACACGCUUCUUGAGCAACGUCGCCACGGUGCAUGGGCUUAGGCAAUGAGCCUGGGCCGACCCAUUUUUCGUCCCUCAACUGAGGAAAUGAAUACCGGCCCAUCCAUUCACGUCAUCAUGGGCCAAUGACACCGCCAGCCCAACGUACGACUAAGCCCCCAUCGCAAAGGAUUUCGGGCAACGCCAUCUUCGGGAAAUGGCCAGAGAUUCUUCUCAUCCAUCCUCAACGUCUUGACCAUAAGUCGUCCCCGGUUCGCACAUCGGCCGAUUUCCGCGGUGGUUUGAAAAAUCGAAACUCCGCUCAACAUCCCCGCCAGCCAAAACCCGCAAAAAAGGAGAGGAAAAGUAAAGGGCAUGCGAUGCUUAUCCAUUCCCCUAAUCUAUAUCUGUAACUUUUGUCUUCUUUCCCUUUCCCUGUUUCGACGAGAUCGAGAAUUUGUUCUGGCCCGGGAGAGAGACGGAAUUCGGCACGUUUCCCUGUUCCAGACGGCCACGUUCUUCAAAAGCAUCGAAAAGAAAGGAAAAGAACGAUAGGAGAGGAACCGGGGCGCACCUCGCAGAUAUUUUUGACGCAGAAUUCAUUGCAUGGAACCUCGGCCAGAGCGAACAGCAAUGGAGUGAUGUAAGCGCACACGUCGGCAUUAGGUGGGUCUCGGUCGUGGGUCGUGGCCAAAUCGCAUUUUUUUCUUUCCUUUCCUUUUUGUUCCUGCGGUAGAACAGUAAAGUCCAAAUAGCCACCGCCGAAAACGGACGUGGAAUUAUAGGGAUAAGUACUAGGUUCUAAAGUCGGUCCCUAUCUAAGAAACGUGGAAAAUGCUGGUGCUUCGAUCCGCCUCGCGCGUGGGAUUGUUGUUUAAUUUUUACAACGUGGUUGAAAUGCCGCAAUAACUACUUGUGGUCCAUAUCCGCCGACGUCUUGCUUCCCCCCCAAAACUAAGGAAUGAAAAGCUGACCUGGCCUUGAAGUAAAGAUUUUUUUACUAUUAGGAGGGGUUAUUAGGAUAAGCAUUCCCAUUUAAAAUAACGUUGGUGCGGUCAAUUUCUAACACGAUCAUUACUUUUUGAUGUAAUUUUUGUAUGUUGUUCAUAGGAAUUUUUUUUUUUUUUUUAUGACUGAGGAACUGCCGAAGAUCCCUUACGGGGUCACACCACCCUCCGAUGCCUUGUGGCACUGUCGGACGUCUUUGCAAGCCACUAUUUAAACAUAGAAAAAAAAAAUAUUACUAAACACAAGGAAAAAUGACAUAUACAAUAUGUAUUUUGGCUCAGUAUGUAAUCUUGACUUUGAACUUUAAUUUUUUUCACUACAAUCCCUCAACUUUAAAUCCAUCGCUAUUUGAUGACGUGGAUUAUUAUAUGCCGAGUUAGAUUUAAUAGAAAAGAUGAGUAAACAUAUUCGUCUUUUUAUUCAUUUACUUUAGAAAAGGGGGAAAAUUAGGGCAUUCACAUGUCCAUUGUUAUUUGAUGACGCAUGUGAGAUUUUUUUAGACUACUACCAACUAUUAUAAAAAUUUAAACUAUUAGAUAAAAGUAUUUUUUAAUAUUUAAUUAUUCUAUCAUUUCUCCUCACGCUUAGUCAGGUUUUUUUGAUUAAUACUAAAUGUUUACAUAUUUAAUUAAAGAGACAAAUAGAGUUUGGAAAUAUUUGAACUUAAAACAUCCGGUUUUGAUAUUAUGUGAGAUUCACUACCAACUAUAUUAAAAUUUUAAAAUGUUAAAUGAAUGCGAUAUGCAAUGUUAAUUAUUCUAUCAACAUGAAUUAUUAUAUCCUAAUUUAAGAUAAAUAUCUUGCAUGAAUAAUUUACAAAUACUUCUUUUUUUUUGUUCCAUCGUUUAAACUUAACGAAAUGGAAGCCAUUGGCAAAAGGACCAUAAUUCAAGAUUUUCCAUAUAUUUUAUGAUAUAAAUUGAAAAGUCACUAAUAAUUUAGAAAUCAAAUCAAACUAAUUAACGAUCUAAAAAUGAUGUUGCACACUAAAUUAAAGUUCAAGAAUUAUUUAUGUCAUCUUUUAUGUUAGAAUCGGUGGAAGUGGACAUUCGCCUCUGACUCCAUACACAUGGAUCGAGUGAAUUAUAAGUUUGCUGAUGAGAUGACGGUGAAAAGAUUGUCCAAGACACACACAACCGCCAAGUUUCGUCCUACGUUGGAUUCAUGUCGCGUACGUGUGUCGGCAAUCGUUACCUUACACGGUUGAAACUGUGAUGCCCGAGCGCAUUCCCGGUCAAAAGUCAACAUUGGAAAAAAAAGAAAUUGCAACAAAGAUCUGCCUUUCAGCAGCCGAAUUAACCACACGUGCAAGAAUCAAGAAAAAAAGUCGAAAGGUCAAUGCUCAUCCUGAAUAGUAUAUGGCAUAAAAAAGGGUAUGAUUCCAAAGGCAUCGUAGCUUUUUCCAUAGGGAGAGAAAACCAAAGAUGCAAACAAAAGAGGGUGGGGGUUUUUCUCAUUUCGGUCAUUAAAUCGUUAGCCAUGACUCACGUUUAGAAAUGUUUGAUGGGGUUGUAAUGUUGGGUUUCCGCCCGGUGUUAUGUGGACAAAGGUUUAUUCAAUACAAGUUAACGAGACGGAUUUCGUGUAUCCUCAAAAAGAUCUCAAUGCAGAUUAGAAUAUUCAAAAAGUUAUAUUUUCAUGUUAUAAAAACACUCAAGUCGUAACAUUCAAUUAUAAAAAAAAUAGAUUCGACUUUAUUAAUGUGUCUAUCUAUAAUAAUUAGUCAAAUGGAUUUAUCAAUCGCGUUCGCGAAUCAAAUCCCUUUCAUCUCCAACCACUCCAAUAGCUCCCAAAUAUUUCACUUUCGCUCAAUUCUUUUCUGUACAAAUCACCAAUGCAUAUAUUUCUUCGUGCAUCCAAUUACGCGAUACACGUGAAUAGCGAUGCUAAUGUGCAUCCACGAAGAUCGGCUCAAAAAAGAAAAAGAAAAAAAGAGAGAGAGAGAAAGAAACAAAUAAAAUUGACAUGCGCCAUUUAAUUAUUGUGGCCCUUGUUCGUCUAUUAGCCAUGCCCUUUAUCCAUGAUUUACUCUAGUCGAUCUCAAUUCGUACCGACAUGUUACCGACGUGUAAAUCCCAUCACACGAAUCAACAUCCCAAAAAGAACUAAACUUGAUGAAUUAUUCAGCAAACGCAAAAUCAAAAGGCCCGGGCGCCUGCCUGGCCAGCCUGGCGAAGGACAGCAAAAAUGUGAUAGAAUUAGACAACAAGCCGUUCUCAUAACACGAACAAUAUUCGAACAAUGUCAUGCUAUAAUCAAAGCUUACAUACAUUUCAUAUGGCAAUGUGAACCCAAUAAAAUAAAUAACACUAUAGUCAUCAACCCCCCCACCUAAUGUUGCACCAAUAUCCAAUCCCUGGCCCCACCACAUCACCAAUCCUAUAGGCUAGAGACACCAUCGCCACCACCAAGCCCUUCAUCACGCCGUUGCAGUUUUGCCCCUCAACUUUCCUGUAUUUACAAACGACAAUACUUGAACCGAUUUUGUCUGUAUUCGCCUGUGUACACUGAAUCCGACCUCAAAAAAAUUGAAGUUAGCAUGAUCCCACCCCCAACUUUUUUCUUUUCCCUUUUUUCUUCACCGACCUAAAAAUGAAUCCACGCCGUCCAUUUCGAAUCUAAAAACCAUUCAAGUUAGCCCCCGGAAUUCUAAUUAUUUACAGAGCCGCCCCCUGUUUUGUUUGCACCUUUGCGUCCAUCUGUCCGGUUCUAUGCCCAUGUACACGUGUCAUUUGCUUUCUCAUUGCCGAAACCCGAGCCCGACGUUGUGGGCCGAGUAGCGGAACCCGUACGGGUCGAGCGAGUUCGCCAGGUUCUGAGCGAACCCGGUCGAACUCGGCUGGUAAAGCCCGGCCGCCGCCGCCGGCGGCGGCUGGGUCCUGAUCCCGCUCUGCACCUCCUCGUUCGCCGAGCCGCCGAGCUGCUGCCUCUGCAGGCCGUCGAGGCGGUUCAUCUGAGGGACAAACACGUCGUUACCGCCGUAGUUCACGAGCCCCUGAGGCUGAGGCUGGCUGACCGGGACGAGCUGUUGCUGGGGCUCCAAGUUGAGACUCGCGAGCGUGGCCCAAUCGAAACUGCCCGAGCCCAUCAGGGCCUGCAGGCUGGGCUUCUGCUCAUGCCGCUGCCGCUGCUGCUGCUGCUGCUGCUGCUGUUGCGCGAUCCUGAGCGAGUUCGCGUGCGGCAACGCGAAGCGCCGGUCGUUGAUCUCGGGCAGAGUGUCCAACAUGUUGUCCAAUGAAGAGGAAGGCGAAUGCGAGCCGUGGCUCUGUUCCUUGCUCGAGGAAGUCGAGGUGCUCGGCUUCUGCCCGCCCGAGCUCUUCUUGUAGAUUCGGCACAGGACCCACUCGUCCAGCUGCGGAUACACACAUACCAAGAACAUCAGUCGAUAGGGCUUGAUGAACACCGCUCGAAUCGAAUCGCGUUUUCGUUAAAAAAAAAAAAAAGGAGACACUUUCAAGAUUGAAAUGAAUACCUUAGUGCUUCCGCUCUUGCAGGUACUUGCGAGGAGGCGGUACUCGUGCAUGAUCCAGUUGGUCUUGUUACCUUUUGGGGCUUUGCCGAUGUAGAAAACGAGGGCUUUCUUGAUGCCGACCUGGCGGCCUUCGGUGCUGAUGACCUUGUCGGUGCCGGUCGCCUUCCAGUACCCGGUCCCGGCAACCCUGUUCGGCCGGGACCCGUUCGGGUACUUCCGGUCUCGGGGGCUGAAGAAGUACCACUCCUUUUCGCCAAACAUCGCCUUGCCUGAAAAAACACACACGAAAUUCUCGUCAGACCAUCAAUACAAGAAAUCGACAGAAGCCCAAAACGGACAACAUCAAACGGGCUCCCUAGCACACGUACUUGGCAAGACCCAGGGAUCGAACUUGUACAGAUCGAUCUCCCCGAUGAUCUCCAGACUGAACUCGUAACCGGCCACCUUGCGGCAGAGGUAUUGGACGAGGAGCUCCUCGUCGGUCGGGUAAAACCGGAAGCCGGGCGGCAGGCUCAGCUGGGCCAGAGGAUCGGUCCCCGGAACACCCAUUUCAGCUCUCGAAAUUUUGAAGGUUCAGGGAGAGACAGAGAAACAGAGAGAGGCAGGGGCGAUUUCUAGGGAGAGGGAGGGAGAGAGAGAGAGAGAGAGAGUCGACCAAAUUUCUCAAUUUGAAACUCUCUCUUUUCUUUUUUUUUUCUUAAACGUGAGAUCGGGGAGCUUUAUUUAUAGAGCCUCCCCUUAGAUGUGAGAGAGCGAUAAGUACGGUCGUCACUUUCAAAGGUGCUGGCUGCAUCAUGCAUCGGCCCCACCUCUGUCUGCAGCCCGCCACGUACUCCUCCGGAAAAAGCGGGGAGAGGCGAGUCGAGUUGGGCCGACCUUAUCCGGGCCUGUACGAGCCCUCACCCCCUCCCCCGUCCCCUUCGGUGCAUGCACCGCCGGUGGGAAAACGAACAAACGGGAGUCAGUCAAGGCGGGGGGACACGUGUCGGUCCUCCCCGGUCCGAUUUUUAGAAAGCGUCGCCUCCCCCCUAUGUUUUCAAAAAGGGACAUUUUCGGGAGGACCGUUCGGUGGAUUUAAGCGCGUUUGGUGCACAUGGUUAGAAGGCAAUGAUCGGCUAGGGCAAUGUCCAAAUCGUGCCUCAGCAUUUACAUAAAUCUCGUUCGUCGUUUACUAAGAUUUCGGUGUAUGAAUUGUUAUUCCUAGGGCGAAUGGUAAAUAACGUCCGGCCAUCUACGUACCGCCACGCGAGGCUCCUGUCCCCACGCCACGUCAUUAAUGCAGGUUUUCCGAACAGAGUCAAUUCUAAUGUCCUCGCGAUCGAAGGGCGGGUUGUACUUCGUACCCGCUGGAGUCGUUUAUCACGGGUGAGCUACGGAGCAACGUGGGCAUACGCCUCGGGGACACGUGCCUACGCGUGGUGUGGGGAUCGGGGAGAGUUAGGCCGGGGGGGCUUUAUUCAAAAAGGAGGAGGAGAGCGACGGGGCGGGGAGAUGGGCCAUGGGGCAAGGACAAGGACAAAGAGCGGUGCAAACGGCGUCGCAUUCGCGGGACCACGUCUACGGCCGGAGCCGAGGUCGGACGCCACCCCCACAUGUCGUUUCCUUUUCACGGAGUUCGCUCUCUAACAUCAUCAUUCAUCAUCAUCAUUAUUAUAAUCAUUUUUCAUGUGUGAGCGCGGACGAUGUGGUCGUGUUUAGGGUUUCUUCCACUCAUCAAUCUUCUGGCGCCCUGGCUUGUCGCUUCAUUUUUGCGUUUCGAAAGAUCUCGUUUUUCUAGUGGCCUUUCGUGGCGCGUUGAGGCGUUUCCGUUUUGGCGAUGUCUUGCAAGCAUUGGGCGGUGGCGAUGGCGAUGGCGAUGCGCGGGGGAACGGGGUCAAGGCGGGAGGAACGGUCUUCCGAGGACCAGACUGCUCUCAUCUCCACACUGACGUCGGCCUACACUCUCUGUUUUUUCCAAUCUCGUGAACGUGGAGUCUUCUCGGAAGCUUUGAUGGAUAUUGCGAUGGCGAGUCAAACCGACACGUAGAAGAUCGCUGGGCGGGCUUGGGAGGUCGACACGUGUAAAAGACCCAUCUUCAGAUAGGGAGCUAGGACUAGGAGACUUUUCGAGAGAGAUUACGGGCGAGAUCCACCACUCAUCGGUCGACCCGACUAAAGAAAAGGGGAAAAAGGGCAAGUGGGGGUCGAUUUUUCGCGAUAAAGGUCGGGACUUGAUUAUUAUGCCACGUGCAGAUGGGACGAUCGGGAGAUGUCGAGACGGGAUUGGCUGGGAGGUCUUGGAAAAUUCCUUCUGGCGUGCGGAGGAGAUUGGAUUUGCGCUGGCGCUGGCGCUGGCGCCCUAAUUUUUCCAGCAGCUUCGGCUUCUCCUCCAAAUCCCAUUAAUUUAAGAUGAAGAAUGACGACUUCCCGUGACAGCUCGAGAAAAAAGUGGGUUUCUUGAAUUGACUCGAGUGAUUCGGCCACGAUAUUUUAAGCCGAGCUGGCUUUUAGAACUUUGCUUUGGAAGCUGAAAUUUCUGUGUUUGGAAUUGUGGGUACCUGCUCGUUUGAAAAAGGGGACCGUACUCGAGAGCCGUUAUUAUUAUUAAUCCUCAUUGACGAAUCGUAAGUUUACUAAACAGAGACAGGAGUUGAUCUGAUGUGUUUUUCUUCAUGAAUAUAUUAUCUUUGGCCAUCCCAUCUUAGAGUUGGAAAGUCUGAUCUCUCCACUUCUCCCCUUAUAAAGAAAUAAGUGGUGCUGAUAUUUACCUCUUUCACCAUAUGUUAAAAUUAUCCAAUUAGUCCCUAACAUAUUUUGUUUUUAUCAAUUCAAUUCUAAGCUUUUUAAUUAUGCUAAUUGAGUUCUAAACAUUUUCAUAUUUUACUAAUUAAGUACCUCCGAAGGUUGUAAGCCUCAAGCAAGGGCUGCCCUCACCAACCUUAGGCAUUGGCCCCUAGUGAGGGUGGUCCUCAAUUGGGAUCAACGAUCUUUGCCGGCCAUUGACGAGGCUUGAUGAUGGUCGACCCAAGGAAGAUGGGAAAAAAAAAGGUAUAAAUAAAUAAAUCAAAAAUAUUAAAUUAUUAAAAUAUUAUUAAAAACUGUUAACGUCAGCAUUCGCUUGUCAUGUAAGAUAGUCGGCAUUCAAUUGGCUAAAAUUAUUCAAUUGAUAAAACGUGAAAAUAUUUAAAACUCAAUUGAUAUACUUAAAAGGUUUAUAAUUGAAUUAAUAAAAGUGCAAUAAGUUUAAACCUUUCUAGAAAACUUUUCCAUGCAAAUCAAUAUCGAUUAUAUGAUCGUUGAUGAUCACACGCAUUUGAUAUUGCGGCUCGGCACCGCGCUUUGAUCACACGGAGAUUUCGAGCAUCCAAGGAGCUAGAAUCCUAAUGAACCGUAAGCUACCAAAGCAUCUACCUAUCCUAGGGGGUUUUCAUUCGAGAGUUCAAACGGUAGGUCAGAGGUACAGCUGGUUUGUGAGGCUGUGAAAGGCCACGAGGAAGCCGCAUCAUCAAAGGUCCGUCGUUCAAAACCCGCUUGCUCUCGUGUCCGUUUUGACCUUUUGUGUUUGGCGGGAGGGAUGGCUGCUCGAAGACCAAAGACUUCACGAAACAGUGCGAAAAGGGACGAAAGAUUCAAAGGCCCUCGUCCGAGUUUUGGACUUCCGCAUGUGCGCAUGCAAAACUCGUUUUGCUUUCAGCCGCAUGCGGCGAUGGAGGGACAGGACGGACGACAUUUAAUGAGUCGUCGUCGGAUUUGAUUUAAUUGUUUAAAGUCGUUCAGUAGAUUCCAUGAACCUUCCCAGCUAGGGGGCUUUUCCUAACGCCGGAGGACCCAAGCUAACACCGGGACAUGUUCCGGCCGGUCGUUUGCUGUUUUGUGGGAAAUUUCAUGUGGACUGUUGUGGAGACUUGAAGUCCGGCUGGUGUCAAUAGCGUGUUAACGGAUUAAGAUUCAAUCCACAUUGCGUAAUUCGUGAUGCAUGCACCUGUGCCUUUCAUCAUAUCAUGGUAGUUUCUGGUUCUCCUAGGGCGGAGAACGUGACGAUUCGUACCUUAGAACAGGUCAAUCUCAUUUAUUUAAUACUCAAUUUAUAGACUUUUCUUAAUUAAGUAGCUAUAUAGAAGCGCGUGUUCGGUAUUCCUAUGUUAAAACUAAAUGCUCGGCUCAAGUAUCGUGUCUGGGAUAGAGGGUUUUCGGCAAAAGUAGUUUUAAAAGGGAAAAAUGUUGGGGCCUCCAAAAUCAACCUCAACGCCUCAUUUAUCUUCGCAAAACUUGGGUUACGUAUAAAGAUAUAUGUAGGGUGCGUUUGUUUCGCGGAAUACAUUUUCGGGGAAAACAUUUUUAUCAUUUUCCGGUAUUUGGAUCUCUUAGGAAAAUGAGUCAAUGAAAAACGUUUUCUUAGUCAAUGGAAAAUAUUUUCUUAGCAAAGCUUAAAUUCAGGAAAAUGAUUUCUCCUUUGAAAGGAUCGGAAAACGUUUUCCGAAUCUACAAACAAUUAUUCUUAUAAAAAAAAUUUAAAAAAAAAAACUGAAUUUGAAUUUUUUAUUUAAAAUAAAUAAAAUUUGGAAAACAUUUUUAAAAUAAAAAUAAAAAAUUCGAAUUUACUUCUUUUUCUUUUUCUUUUCUUCCUUUUUCUUUUUGCUUCUUCUUCACCGGUCACCGGCCACAAGGAUGGCCAAUGAGUUUUUGCUUCUUCAUUUUUUUUCCUGUGAUGAAGUGUGAUUAUUUUUUAAUGGGAUACAAACGACAGAAAACAUUUUCAAUUAUACAUCACCAAACAAAGGAAAACAAACCGUAUUUUUGGAAAAUGCUUUCGUAGAAAGCAUUUUCUUUUAUCAUUGAAUUUUCCGUGAAACAAACGUACCCGUAAGGAAAAAGAAGUACUAAAUGGCUUCGGGUAAGGGAGCAAAGCCAAUGGGCCCACCACCAAAGCCCAUGGAUCUGCUGCAUGGGCCUGGUGAAGAGCCCAGGAAGCAGUUGGAGUUUGGGGCCGAAGCGGCAAGCUGACCCCGACCCAACCCGGGCAUACAUUCCUCCAAUCCAUAAAAAUUGAUCGAAAGAGGUCUUCAAUUCAUUGACUAUAUGCAGAAAUUAUCGAGGUCAAUCAGAGCAACUUACCGACUAUUGUCGGAUAGAAUUUUGAGCUGGUUUUAGGUUACUAACUUUUUUCAAGCGGGUGCGUAGAUAACCCGAUCCCAAAGAUUCGAAGCAUCGGAUUGUAACCGAUUAGAGUCCCGAAACGAAAGCUGCCAGCCCGCCACCAAAUUCAAUCUCUCGAGAGCAAGAGAAGGGCUCAUGCUAAUUCCUUUCCUUGAAUGAAGCCUGUCUUAAGCAACACCAAACCGAACUCUUGCUACCCAAUUUAAAGCCCGCGAAAACGGAUUCUUGUAAUUAUCAACUUCAUCCGACAUCUACCUUCAAUUCAUCUGCAAGAUGAACUUCGCAAGCAGAAACUAUAUUCUCAGUUCAGUCUCUAGAUCAUACAUAUUACCAAAGUUCUCGCAACAAUCGAUCUUACUCCAUCCGAAAGUCUCGAUUGAGCUGAUGUAGCCAGUUUCACAUAUACAGUUCAACACAGAUACGGCAUUGUCGAAAAGUCUGCUCGGACAAACUCCGGAUCGAUGAUGUUCGCGUUGGGGCUCGACGGUUGGUGCGAGAAUUGACAAGGCGCUACGAGCAUUGCGACUAAAUCUCCAAUAAUUCAUUGAGCGAUGGGAUACACUUUAAAACGGACUAGGGUCUGCUUGGCCCUUUAAUCUUAAUCACAAAUAUUUUUUGACUUUUCCAUCUGACCCAAAUCUUUCAUUUUUCUUUUUAGGUUCUAGUGAAUUACGAUAAAAAGUAUUUACAAGAGUCCAAGCGAUCCUAUCAUCUAUAAAUUCAUGUGAAUUAAGAUUCCUUUUUUUUUUUUGGGUCGAAAUGUAAAUGAAAAUUCAAUUAAUUAUUGAAUGAGAGCAGAUCGACCUAUCUCUCUAAUUUAGUAAAUGGCCUUUUGGGCUAGCAACAAUGGGGCACAUUAACGUUCUUGUCUGUUGGAGACUCUAUAGGCAUUUCUCAGCAUAAGUCCAUCACUAAUCGAAACUACUCAACUCCAACAAAGGCUUCGUUGAAAUCACCUUGAUGAAAAGUGAGCCUCAGGAAGGCCAAAAGCACUAGGCAGAUCUUGAGGUGAGGUGUCUUGAGUUUUAAACUUUCUCGACGUGCAAGUUCAAGGAUCAAUAAAUUUUCUUUCCCAUCAAACCUACUCUCACCAAUUUUUUUGGUUUUCCAGUUUUGCUCUCCAUAUAAUUGUUCAUAUUCUUCGUGUGAGGGUGGCCAACGAGGGGCCGGCAAGGGGUUGGUGAGAUUGCAUAACCCAAGCAACCGUCACCCUAGGUCGCUCUACCUUGUAAAGUGAUUUAACACGUAAAAGGGCUCCCAACAGAGAAGGUCAGGUCCUCUGCACUUAAAGAUUCAGCUAUAACGAGGAAAGGUCCCAAUCCGGGAUUUUAUUUUCGACGGUUUUAAGGUUGGACACUAGCUUAUCAAUGCAUUUUCUAGUGAGAUGUCAUGACCUCAUUCGGGCAUCAAAACAUCUUUCGAAUAAAUGGGCGCUCCGCCAGUAGUUUACACAUAAAUCUGUGGGGGAGCAAUAGCCCCCACAUAACUCCAUACUUAACAAUCAUAUUAUAAAUGCUCGGCCCCUUUGAUUUGACACAUAAAUAGGUUUGUGUGGAGCCGAGGAAGGAUGUUCAUUUACUACAACAUAAAAAUGUACUUUAGUUGUUUAGUUGCAGUUGCCCCUUUAGUUCAACUCACGUAAACCAGUUUGGCACAUGGAGGGUGACUAUGGAAGGACUUGAACAUUAGUUGGGAACGGUAGCUGUGAGGAGAGGCACUCGGUCGUGUGGGUCAGGUGAAAGGAGGCCACUUUCCGGAAUCUGAAGUGCGUGGCCAUGUUUGCUACGAGGUACCGUAGAUGUCCCUAAAACUGCAGUCCGCCUCAUCAGCACUUGGGAAUCGAACUGUCCCGUCGGUGCGCCAAGAUGUGAUCCGCAGAGAGACGGAGAGGGAUGCAAAUUGAGAGAAGCAAGAAGAGGAAGAGGAAGAGGAAGAGGCGGUCAUGAGCAUGGGAGGGGAGAUGGGAGGGGAGAUACUGAUGGCUGUGGUCGGCCUCUGGGCGGUCUACCUCCGGCCGCGGAUGAUGAGGUUUGCCGGGGAGAUGAUCGGAGUCAUGGGUUACACGGUGAGCAGAAUCAUCAGGGGCAGGGCUUCCUUCGUCUUCUCCUCUCAUUAGCCCUCCUUGUAUGACCCUUCUAAUAGGAUCUUAUUGUUAUUUUCUUCUUCUUCUCGUUAUAUCCAAUUCUCCUGUUGAAUUGGGUAGGAAUCGAGCUAACUUAGCACACAGAGUAAAGAAUAACUUUCUGUGGGCAGGUUUGUGCAAUGUUAAUUGAGUUCACUUCACGUCGCACUGGCUUACUAAUUAUAAACGUCGCUAGUCUUGGAUCGUUAGGGCCCCAGGUCCGAAUUUUCCUCGAGCCAAGGUGCUCCGACUCACUAGGCGCCGCACGGGCAAUGUCCUGGCCGGAACAGUCUUGGCCUAUGACAAUGUGGCACUCACAGUUAGGUAGUUUACGAAUUGCGAAAGGAGAGAUGGGUGCCGUUCGUCCUGCAAUAAUUAUUGCCGAUGUUUCGAGAGGCUAUUCGAUCAUGGCUAUGCUCUCGUCAAGUUCUUCAUUUUACUGCGACAUUCGUGAUUCGAACAUGGGCCGAUGAAUCGUCCACACUCGAUACUGGCCUUCCGAUUCUCUAACUUAUCCUGUUAGGCAUGUUAAAGGUUCUAUCUAGUUUUGUGGUGGACCCUGUGGCGGUGGUGAUAGGUGGGAAAGACUUUCCUUUUUCUGCAAGCAAUCGAUUAAAGUCAGAACUCACCCCGACCAUAAAUUCAAGCGAGCAAAUUCCGUGGGCCCCAUCAAAAAAUCCGUGGACCCCCCAUCAAAGCC